AAAAAGUAGACAUGUGUUAGAAAAAAAGAAACCAAUGAUACAAAAAAUCAAAGAAAAAUGGAGAACUAAUAAAACCCAAAAAAGAAAAAGGAAAAAAAUUGAAGAAAACCAAUGCAAAAGAAUGAAUACAGUCAAACUCGAGAAGGAAACAAAGAAAAAUGAAGAAAACCGGUUGUAGAUGCUCUUAGUGCUCUGACGCGAAAUAUUGCCACUGGCACAGGAAAAAUUCUGCACUACCAAAUUGUCUUUCUUUAGAUAAAAUGUGGAUUUUAUUAGCUCAAGAUGAAGCAUCAAAGUAAUACAAACUUAAUGAGCAAACAAUCGGGCUCUGCAUGACUAGAAUGCAUACAAUCAAUACUAUAACAAACACAUGCACAUAUAUGAAGAAUCACACCAGCAAAGAGCAAAGUCCUACAUGACACCAUCUCUGCUUUAGCGGAGGAAAAGAAAAAUGAAAAAGAAAACUCUAAAGCGAUCAAAACAAUGAUCGACGACAUGAUUGCUGACGAUUCAUUUGCUCAGAGUAUUAUAUAAUUCGUCAAGCGGUCAAUUGUUAUUCGAUAGUCAUAUGAUACCUCAUAUGCCGUAUCGUUAGAACUUCUUUAGGAUCAGCGUAUGUACAGAAUCAUUUCAUGUUCAUCCGGAAAAAGAAUAAAAAUCAAUUGAAUUUAAUACUGUCACAACAAUCACGGGUCAUCUUUAUAGUAGGAACUGAGACCAAACAACCAGCUGUGAAGUGGUUAGUCAUGCCACGAGGUCAACUAGAGACUUGUUAAGAGCAUCUACAAUCACAUAUGGCAAAUCUGGCGCGUCCGCGAACAGUGACCGGGCACACCUUAAAUUUUACUUGUUGCAUCCGCACAUCUCAUACCCGAUUUUUAUAUCCAUACAAAGACACGCAAAAGGAUAUAGAACCUACGUACUACGUCGAUCCUAGCUACUCCUCGUCGGAGAUCAAUCUCCGUGCCCAGCUCCAGUAGCAUGGGCGGCAGCUGCAGCUCCGGCUGCUCCGCUCUGGCCUCCUCCGCCUCUAUCUUCACGUCGAGCUCGGCGAAGAGUGCGUCGGACUCCGCCUGCCCUGGCCUGAGGAACGCUCGAUUGGCCUCCACAUAGGCCUCAUCCUGGAUGAACUCAAUUAUGGCCUACUCCUCGGUCAUCUCGUCGGACUGGGCGACGGCGAACUCCGCCUCCGCCUGCUCCAUGUUGAAGGGCGGCACCUGCUGGUCCUGCUCCUCCACCUCCAUCGGAGCCAUCUCCUCCUCCUCUUCCCCCGGCUGCUCCUCCUCCUCCUCCAGCUCCGGUGAGUCCGAAGGCAGCCCGACAGCGAUGCGGGCGGCGCGCGCGGCUUCCCUCGCCUGGAUCUGCUGCUGGAUCUCAUAGCGGCGCUCCGGCGUCAGCAUGGCAUAGUAGAUGAUCUUGCUCCGAACCAUGGUGAAGUGCCGGAGCAUGGGCAGAGCGCCGGAGCGGAAGAGGAAGGAGGUGGAUGUGUUUCCGGGCGUUUCUGUGUGGGGCCCCUUUGUCAGUCCGACGUGGCGGACUUGCCCAGGUGCGCCCGCAUGCCCCAUAUCCGCCCCAUACUUGGGCUGGAUAUGGGGGUGCCGGUCAGUCCGGUUGUUUGAGGGCCGUUUGAGAGGCCCGUCUGGGUAAAAAAUCGGGACCGGGUAGUGACCGGGCGGCUCACCGGGGUGUAUGAGGCGGGUUUGAUAGGUCCGGUUGUAGUUACUUUAACAGACAUGAUUGAAGGCUCGUCACUCAGUCUAUUGUUGUUGGGUUAAGUCCAGCCAUGCAUGGUUCCACUUGUGUACUUAAAAAUAAGCAAGCGUGGUUAGUGGCUCCGAAGAUAUCUUGGCAUGAUAUCGUAAGUCCAGCGAACAGCGGCUGGAUUUAUACGCAGUGUAUAUGUGAACCGAAGACUUGACUUUCACUGGCACACGCGUGGUAUGCACGUAGGUAGAUUAAAUAACUGCACCGGGGAUAGCGAUUUAUACUUACCAGCGAAGACGGACGGCACCAGCCCGGCAACGUGCAGCGACGACGUGAACGGCCGUGACCGUGAGAGCCAGCUGCUUGCCGUCGAGGCAGUACCAAGUGGAACAAGAACCGCUCUCAGUCUUAAAAUACAAGUUCUAAAAACAACUCGGAAAAAGAGUCAAUUACACCAGUGGUGCAGCUGUGGUGCCAGAAUUUGGCAUGAAUGAUCAUUUCAGUGCUACAAGUUGUGGUGUACAUUGAAAUGAUGCAAAAAUUUAACUUUGCUGCAUAAAUAUGGUGCAAAACUUGUUUUUUUUAAAUCCUUUACGCUUUUUUUAAAUCCUUAACGCUGACAAGACGUGCCAGCAGGCAUGGAGCCCGCUGUUAGUGAUGAGACGGUGGGGACAGCGUUUGGGGCCUGCUCUUUUUGCGAAAAGAAAACUUGCACUAAAAUAACCCUGGUAGGUUAGAAACAACACAAAUCGCAUUAAGGGCCAGUUCUUUUCGGCGGCUUAAAAAAUAAGCUGCCUCUCCCCAGCUUUUUCCAUAAGCCACCUCCUAUAUUCGUUGGGGCUUCUAAACUAGUCAUGGGAUAAAUAUUCUAGAAGUCUCAAAAAAAUUUAGAGGCGGCUUAUUUUUUAAGCUAGGGAGAGGCAGCUUAUUUUUUAAGCCGCCCAAAAGAACUGGCCCUAAGAGGGAAAACUGUCCAACAUUUCGGAGCGCACCUUACUGGAACAACCGACGACAUUUGUUGUUGAAGUGGGAUCAGGAAGUUAUAUAUUCUUUAAAUUAACAGCGUAAAGUAAAUUUUUUGAACACAAAUGAAAAGGGCGCAACCCAAUUGGCGAUUAACCACCAGGCUUGAUGACAUUUAGUGCUCUAUACGAAAAUAAAUAUUUUCCAUACAAGUUUGGUGAAACAGCAUAAAUGAUAACUCUAAACUUGAAUGAAAAGGUCCAGCAAUCAAACCAGUGAUCUCCUAUCCCGAUACUGCAAACCAACCGCCGGCGAAGAUCAACUCUGUACUUCGAUACAUCCAUAAUAUAAGUAAGAGCAGGACGUAGGACUUUACCUUCAUAGUGAGGGUCUGAACCUGGGUAAAUGCGAUGUGUUCUUUCUCUUGUUACCCAUCGAUCCAAUCUAACAACUCGGCCCCCCUACCCGAGGUCUUCCGGUUUUGACACCGACAAAAGUUGAUCUUGGAUUUCUUCANNNNNNNNNNNNNNNNNNNNNNNNNNNNNNNNNNNNNNNNNNNNNNNNNNNNNNNNNNNNNNNNNNNNNNNNNNNNNNNNNNNNNNNNNNNNNNNNNNNNNNNNNNNNNNNNNNNNNNNNNNNNNNNNNNNNNNNNNNNNNNNNNNNNNNNNNNNNNNNNNNNNNNNNNNNNNNNNNNNNNNNNNNNNNNNNNNNNNNNNNNNNNNNNNNNNNNNNNNNNNNNNNNNNNNNNNNNNNNNGCUAAGCAUGGGAGGCUUUGGUCUCUUUGGGCUCGAGGUAGGGGAUAGCAAAGCAUCUGCAUUCUUCCCUCACCCGGUGGUUAUUGUCUGGAUCAACCAAGGACAUGUUAGAGAGGAGGGCACUAUUGAGAGAACCUGUGCCAAGGUCAGGGUCAGUUACCCCAAGGACAGGCGAUGUGGAGUUUCUAUUCCAUGAAGAGGUCAUCUCAGAGAUUGAAUCUUUCUUCCGAGAUGCUUCUCCUUGUGUAGGAUCCUCCUUUUUUUAAGCACUAGGAUUAACCGCCACACCUUCUUAAUAUCAGAUCAAAUUGCAUUAUUAAAUAUGUGUGCAUUUCUAGUUUUCCAGGUACACCCUAAGAUGCAAGCACAUGUAAAAUUAGGCACGCGUAGUUGUUGUUAGCGGGCCAAAAUCUGGCAACAGAAGGAAAAUCAUAUCCUAAAGUAAUUCCAAAAAUAAGCUAGACAACUAUUUCCAAAUACUUUUAGAAACUGCACAAUCAAAGAGCAGAUGAGAAACGAUUUCUUGCUCAUUGCAAAGUACACAAUCCGAAUGUAUAUUCAAGUUUCUUCUCUACAAAUUUUUGUCUAGUCAUAGGUUUGGUAAGAGAUAGAAGCCACAAAAAGACUUGGACCCUGCGAGGAACUAAAGUAGACCAAACAGAGGGAAUGCCCCGCCUCCCCCUCUAGAGUCAUACUGCCAUAAAAUGCAUCGUUGUUAUUACUAAAAGAGAUAGACCGGAGAAUUUGCUCCAAGUUGUAUCAGGAUUCUAUCAGGGAAUAAGAAGAAAAAUCCUUCUAAAAGUUAGUCGCAAUAAUGGAAAAACUUAUAUGUGAUCACAAUAAUGAUGGCACACAAUGGAACAUCACAAUAAACCUUUAUCGUGGAACAUUAAAAACCUUCUAAUGGGACAUCACAAUCAUGAUGUAAGACAACGAAGCGAUUGUAAAAUAUGACUGUGUGUCAUCGACGAUAAAAAACAAUCAUUUCAGCUCAUUAUGAGCUCAUAUUUUUGGUUCGAGUCAAUUACGAUUGGUUGACCAACAAAUACUCAUGUUGAAGAUAUUCCGGUGAUCAGCACGUUUCAUUAGAAAGAUUUCACUACACAAGAACAUGUAUACAUAUAUACAUCGACAAUUAAUAACAUACCCAUUAUCCAAGCUGUCAAAAGAAAAGGAAAGACAUUUAGCAUCUAUGAGGGCAUCAGCAGUGUAUAGAGGCUGGGCUGCAUCUAUGCUGGGUCCCACCUUCAGCCUCUAAGGUUGUCGUUGAACGGACAAACGAACACGUAGCUCAUGUUGAUGCAGACGGAGAUGAAGGUGGUUUGCGCCGGCCGUGGCCGUGGCCGUCGCCGACGAACCUCUUCCAGUACCAGUGGCGGUCCCAGACGGAGCCCAUGGACUCGAGGGGGACGCCCUUGGUCUCCGGGAGGAAGACCAAGACGAAGGCCGUGAGGGCCACGACCCAGGCCGCGUAGUAUGCGAACGUGGCGUACUUGAGGCGGCAGAGCAGGGCGAGGAAGGUCUGCGUCUGCAGGAAGGUGAGCCCGAGCGUGGUGGAGACGCUCACCGACUGCCCCGCCGACCGUAUCUCCAUCGGGAAGAUCUCGCCGGGGAUGAUCCAGAUGAGCGGCGCCCACGACAUGCCGAACCCGGCGCCCUGCACGCAGGUGAGCGCCAGCAGCGCCACCCCGUAGGCCCGCGGUAUCGGGCCGUCGGCGGCUUUCGCUCCCAUGAUCCACGCGUUCGCGACCUGGCAGAGGACCAUGAUCACCGCGCCCACCACGACGAGCACCUUGCGGCCGUAGCGGUCGAUCACCAGCGUGGAGAGGAUGAGCGAGCCGAACUUGACGGCGGCGAGGAUGACCGCGCCCAUCAGCGCCGCGUUGCUCCCGAAGCCGGCGAUGCGGAACACCAGCGGCGAGAAGAAGGUCAGCACCAUCAUGCCGCUGAGCUGGUGGCAGAACGGCACCACGACGGAAAAGGUCAGGUGCGGGCGGUACUGCCGGUCGGCGAGGAGCUUCCGGAACGCGCCUUCCUCGCUGCUGCGCGCGGCCUCCACGGCGCGCGUGAUGUCCUUGAGCUCGGCGUCCACGUUCGCGCUGGCGCCGCGCACCCGGAGGAGCGCCGACCGGGCGAGGUCUGCCUUCCCGCGCAUGAUGAAGCUGCUGGGCGUGUCGGUGAGGAAGAGAGCGCCGACGAAGAUGACGAUGGCCGGCGCGCCGGCGAGGCCGAGGGAGAGCCUCCAGCCCCACUCGAGGCUCGCGGUGCCGUAGUUGACGAGGUUGGCGAUGAGGAUCCCGAGGGCGAGGAAGAACUGGAAGGCGACGCCGAGGGAGCCGCGCCACCGCGCGGGGGCCAUCUCGGCGAGGUACAGCGGGGUGGCCUGGUUGGUGAACCCGACGCCGAAGCCGAGCAGCAUGCGCCCGACGAUGAGCAUGGCGAGGUUCAUGGCCGCGCCGGUCAUGGCGCCGCCGGCGAAGAAGAGCGCCCCGCCCAGCAGCAUCACGCCGCGCCGGCCCAGCGACCUAGUGACGCGGCCGGCGGCGAAGGACGACACGAGCCCCGCGAUGUAGAGCGACGAGGUGAAGGAGGUCAGCGCGUGGCUGUCGAAGAUGCAGUACUGGCUCCGCUUCGCGUCCGCCAUCCUCCUCAGCACCGUGGGGAAGAAGGUCUGCAAGAAGGGCUUCAUCUGCGAGACGCCGCCUGAAUUUUUCACAAUAUAGUUAGCAAGAGAUCAGAAACGAGACGAGCACACCGCGCAAGAUCGUGGUAAGCUGUGGGUGAAUCUGACCUGAGAUGCCGAUGUCGUAGCCGAAGAUGAGGCCGCCGGAGGCCGCCACGAGGCAGGUCAUGACUACGGUGAACGUGAGCUCGCCGCCGUAAGCCAAAGGGGAGCCAUGGCCAGCCUCAACGCCAACGGCACCUACGGCCAUCGCGUUUCCUCCCCUGUUGUGUGUGUGUGUGGAGUGGACGCCCUGCAAAGGCUUCUCGUGCUACUACCAGUGGAGUAUUGUGGUCACUGGUCAAGGUAUCGAGAAGGAGAGCUGACUGGCAGCAACGGUACCGAGGAAGGGUGCCCAGCUCUCAAGGGCCGGCAUCAUCGUGUAUUUAUAGAUUGGUCAACUUUGGGCAGGCCAGUGUAUAUCUCGCGUUCAUGUUUGUUUGUUUUUUGAGUUGGCAUUCAUGUUUUAGAUAUGGCACUCUCAAAUCUCAAUGCACUAUAUUUGUGUUGCAUUUAAAACAAUUCUUAUUUAAUACUCCCUCCAUUUCUAAAUAUUUGUCUUCCUAGAAAUUUCAACAAGUGCCUACAUAUGGAGCAAAAUGAGUGAAUCUACACUCUAAAAUAUGUCUAUAUACAUCCGUAUGUGGUAGUCCAUUUAAAAUCUCUAAAAAAGACAAAUAUUUAAAAAUGGAGGGAGUAUCUGUUGUGAGAGAAAAUUUCUGAGAUAUUAUUGCUCCCUUCGUGUUUAUAGCCCUAUAUUUAGAUUAAGAUAUGGUAACUCUAUCUUUUAUCAUUCAAUAGGUACCAGAUAAUAUACGUGGUAAGCAACCCAAACUAUUCAACAGAAAAAUUCUUAUGAGUCCAAGAUGGAGCACUGGGAGUGUCCUUACUGCAUGACAAGCUACAACAACCAUAUCUCAUCAUGGUCAGGGCUAGCUGACUCAAGAUUGGGUGAAUAACUAACCAACCUAUACUUGGGUGUAAAUGUGAUACUAAGCACGAUUCCUAUCACUAUCCUUGAAUCUUCACACUAAAAAUAAGAAACCUACCUUCUGCUGCAUAGAAGUCGUAUUGUUUGACGGGUCUUACAACGGCAAGUACCGCAUAGUACGGAAGUACCAUAGGUUGGCGCAAAUACAAAAUCAUUUCAAUUUAAAACUCUUGUCACAACCACGAGGCAUUUUUGUAACCCAGAUCGAACAAACCAGCUGUGAAGUGGUUAGCCAUGCCACCGGGUCAACUAGGGAACUAAUAAAGAUGAUUAGUAUACAUGAUUCGGGAACUAAUAAAUAUUAUUAGUAUACAUGAUUCAUUUGCUUAGAGAGUACGUACUCCCUCUGUAAACUUUUAUAGAUCACUACUUAGACUCUUUAGAUCACUAGUGAUCUAAAAAGUCUUAUAAACGUUUAUAGAGGAAUAGUAGUUUGGACUAUGUGCAUCGAGUAUGUAUUUCAUCAUGCAUGGUUCCACUUGCACUUAAAAUUCAACAAGCGAGGCUAGUGUGGCUCCAAUACAUAUCUUUACGAUGUUAGAUGGCAUGUACUCCCUCCGUUCGGAUUUACUUGUCACAAAAAUGGAAGUAUAUACAACUAAAAUACAUCUAGAUACAUUCCUUUCUUGGACGAGUAAUUCCAAACGGAGGGAAUAGCUAUUGACAUGAAAAUUGAACUCUUGUUGUCUGACAAUAAAUAUAUCUGCAAGUCCACCACAAGACCGAAUGAGUUCACAGAACAAUGGCCGGCUUUAUACGUUUUUUCCCUGUUUUUUUUUCUUUUUCUUAUACGUUCUUUUUGUAUGUCAUCAUGCGGUAAGCGUGAUCAGCCAACUACAAACCUUGAUGGUUAAUUAUACGGGUUGUAUGUCAGCCGAAGACUUUGGAUCAAUCAUUGGCACUCGUUCACUACAUAGGUGUAGCAGACUAACAAAUGAUAAAGAGCUUUCGUUCUAAGAGUAGCUCUUGUUUUGAUGUUAGUGGUUUUGUGCGGAAGCCAUUUGUAUUUGAGAAAUUUUAACAUGAUCCCAAACUAUUUUAGCCAUCUAUGUUUUUUGAUCCAAGGGCCAUAUAAUCUCUUAUCAUCUAAGAAGUAAGAUUACUAAAUAGGCAGUAAAUUUUUCAUUUUUCGAAGGGCUCCUAUUAAUACUAUGGAAACAUAAUGCUAAGAACUCUGGUCAUAUAGACUAUUACGUUAAAUAAAUAAAUACUUUCAAAAAAAGUAUGCAAUGUAACUUGUACAUCAAAUGUUUGCACGGUUAAAAAAAUUACUAGCUUGACAUGCCAACAAAAUUGCUACAUACAAUUUAAAUCAUCCAUUUUAUUUCAAUCAGAUUUCAAUUUCUUCGAAACAAAAUUUGAGAAUCCAUUGACAACAAUCUUUUCCACAUGCAAAUUAAAUUAAAUUUAUUUAUUUUUCAAAGAAUUUAAGGCACGGACAAUUUGAGCCAUCCAACCAUACUUAUUUUUUUAAUAUACUGGAACAUUUUUAAAUGUUUCGUAUAUAUGUACUAUGAGAAGUAAAAGCUGCUUAGAGCAAGUACAUUAACAGGCUUAUAGCCCGCUUACAUGACAAUUUUGCCUACGUGAAGAAGGUAUACAUGACAAAGUAAGGGGAGUGGACUCUCAUGAAAGAGCUUAGCUAUGCAAUAGAUUCUUAAAAAAGGAAGAUACAUUAAAUGUGAAGAAAGAGAUAGAGAGAGGAUGAAAAAAACACUAGUCUUAUAGCCAAUCUUAUAGCUAACCUUGUUUUAUGAAUGACUAUAAGUGAUGAAUAUAGAUGACAUGACAACAUCGUAUAGCCGACAGUUGGUUGUACCAUUAGCCAUGCUCUUCGAAUGUUUCAUCUUCAAAACACAUUGAUUUAAUUAUUGUAAUAUCCUUGAUUUCGUGAGGAAUUUAUAGGAAAGACAAUAAUGUGCAUUAUUAAUUUCCUUUUUAUGCCACGAUGUAUUAAUUGGAGGGUCAAAUAUGAUCUUUUUGCACAAUAAAAAUCACCAAUAAUCAAUGGCUAGGAUUCGAUGACUCUUACCUCUCUAGAUGUAAGAAGAACCAUUGUAAAACUGCUCUUGCUUUUUUCCUUUGUGCACAUGGAUGUCGUCUCUGUUUUGCUCUGUUAGUUUUGAUAUUGGAACCCUAACCUUACUGUAUCAUAUGGGAAAAAAAUAUUGCUGCUAUCUAACAACGGAAUAUCAUCGGAAAAAAUAAAUCUAUUUUGGACCAAUGGGAAUACAUACAUCAUCACCGUCCGCAUGCAACCAUUAAUGCGAAAACAAUUUAGAAACUGAGCGCCGAAUCAAUUUGGAAAUCAAGUCAUUAAUGUAAUUAAUUAGCCAGACAGUUAAUUACAUAUGCAAUUAAUUAGGUCCAUUUAAACAUGAUUUUUUCACGCGGAAUUAAUAAAAAUCAAGUCAUUAAUGUAAUAAAUAAAUUAGGCGGGCAAUUAAUUAGGCUUACAAAUAAUUAGAAGUAGGUAUUUCUUUUCGAAACGUGUUUUCUCUAAUAGGCGUAGUCCACUUUUCUAGCUAUUCUUUCCAAAACCACUCAUAAUCUACCACUUCACAUGUCACAACUCUUCAUGCUCAAUACAUAAAACAAUAUCACAUCAAGCAUAUCCAUCAAGAAAUUCAGAAAAGUCAUGUUGACCGGAUGUGCGUCAUGUGAGAUAGUGUGUGAUUCUUUGUAACACCCACCAUGCGAUCCUAGCCUCAGCGAAGACUUUGCUAUCCUCGCUAAGGAUAGAAUCCCAUAUUGGUUGCCCUAGAAUAUGACUUCAUAACAUAAACGUAAUGUCAUAUGCUGGUGAACAAAGAUGGAACAUCACAAGAAGUACAACUAUACAAGAUAAAUGAGUUUAAUACGAGUGAACAAAAUGGCGAACAUAUGCCAAUAUGAUAAUAUAGUUAUACACCAAUCAGAGGUCACAUGACCGAACAUUACAACACAAAAGAAACAUGGGUCCGAGCACGGACAAGAACCGAAGUUGCCUAAAGAGGCUAGAACAUAAGCAAACAUCCCAUAACCAACGGGUUUCAAGAUGCCAAAACCGGGAUCUACUAGUCGUCGUCGAAGAAGAACUCCACGAAGAACAUUCCGCGCUCUCAGAGCAAAGCUUUACUUAGCAUGUACAUGCACCUGGGGAUGUUGUCGUAUUUGUGAGCCUUGAGGACUCAAAAGUCCCGUUACCAAGGGUACCAAGACUAACAAUACUUAUUGGUUGGAUAUGGUUAAGUGUUGAGGUUGCAGCACAAAGCUAAGCAAUGUAACCAACUAGUCAUACCAAUACUAGAACAAGAUGAGAUCAACCUACACAAUGGGGUCGCAAAUUAGUUGAUCAAUAAGUGAUCCUAAUCAGCUGCCUACGAUUCCAAACAUCACCCUACAAUGUUCUCUUCUUUCUUGCAUACCCACAAGAAGAGACAAUCGAUACGCACACGUUCAAGCAAGUUUUAUUUAUUAGUUGAAGUUGUCUAUGCCUGGCAUUAUUGGUGGUAAAUGUAGUAGAAAACAAAAAAAAUCGCCAAACAAUCAACUAGGAACACUAUGAAGAUGCAAUAACGGUUUGGAUCGGAUCGUUACCAACUCCGAGUUGCAUCGGAAGAAGACGAGUCGGUGUAGAUCAUACUUGAAGUCCCUCAAACCAUCGAUGAACGAUCCCUCGAACCAUUCAUGAACAUUCCCUCGAGGGGAAGACCGAAUGCAAGGACUCUCCAUAGAUGACAAGCAUACGGUCUCCACGAUCUGGCAAGACUUCACCGUCCAGAGCUAAUCGUCACCGGAGAAUUAGAGGGAGGGUAUUAGAGCCAUACUUGGCUUAAUUAUGAGGAUUAGAGGAUCUAGGUCUAGCCCUAAUUGGAUCAACAAGAACUAGAACUAGAGAACUAGAGGAGCCUCCAAAAACUUGUGUGUUCAAAAGUGCCCAAAACCUCUAGNNNNNNNNNNNNNNNNNNNNNNNNNNNNNNNNNNNNNNNNNNNNNNNNNNNNNNNNNNNNNNNNNNNNNNNNNNNNNNNNNNNNNNNNNNNNNNNNNNNNNNNNNNNNNNNNNNNNNNNNNNNNNNNNNNNNNNNNNNNNNNNNNNNNNNNNNNNNNNNNNNNNNNNNNNNUACAAGGGGAAGGGGGCACCACCACUAUUGGGCCUAAGUGGUCCAAGUAGCUCUCCACCACUUGGCCUUUUAAGGCCCGUUGAUAUUUAAAUAAAUAUAAAAGCACCCUUAUCAUAUUUCAAGCCUUUUAAUAUUAAUCUAACAUCACUAGAAACUACUUCCACCUAUAUAUAUAAUUUAUCGGUAUUACCCAGUAAACCACGACACGCUUUCGGUUCCUCUCGAAACUAUUUUGAAUAUUAAUGAAACUAUUUCAUAAAUAUUUUCUCCUUACUCCUGUCCUACUAACACUCAGCAGAUCAUGAUUACCUUAAGUUUGUGACGAUGUAGGUUCGGUAAAACAUAGAUAUGAACAAAACCCCUUCCGCUCAAUGACCAAUAGCGGAACCAUGGACAUCCAUAUCGAUCCCUAUGAGUACACGAAUGCCAUUCGAGUGAACCUUUGGUUAUCAUGUGAUAUUCCCUUUGCUUCAUGAUACUUUACAAAACACGAGGUGAGAUAUAUCGGUAUCCUCUUGAGUCAUACACAUGCUCACUAUACCAGUCUCCACGUUACCGGUUUCAUUCUUCUUUCUCAUUGACAUGUUCCGGCAUCCCUCUGACAUAGUCACCUGUGUCUGGCCACACAAUGACAGAUGUCGUCACACUGAGAUGGCCCUAAGAAUAACCCUCCAUUGUCGUAGGAGCAAAUUCCACUCUUGAGCUAUCUAGUCCCUUGUCAAAAUUUUCGAUGAACCUGUAAGUUGUUGUUAUGAUCACCGUGUUACAGAUGACGUUUGAGCAGCCCCAAAGUUCAUAGUACGGUAAGAUGACUACGAUAUUCUCAUGGUUUAAGGAACUAAAUCACGUGUUAACACUCAGUGGUAUAACAAUUGACUUCUAACGAUAUUAACGAUAUUACCUCCAAUUAUAACAAGCAAGUUUGGGUCGAUUCAAUAUGAUCGUUCUUCCAACGUCAUAUCCUCAAAUUUGUUUUGAGACUAUCGUUACACUUAACGAUCUCAAGAUCGAGAAAACGUGAUCACAAAUAAAACUUGGGCUAGUCUUAUAGGUGAGACUAGGAGUCAGAUUUAACCGUUUAUCAUUCCACACAUGCAUAUAAGUUUUCCACUGAAUCACAUAUUCCAGGAUCAUAGCAGUUAUAGCAUAGAAUAUAAACUCCUAAUUAUAAACAUGAAAUAAUAAUAAUAAAAUAUUAUUGCCUCUAGGGCAUAUUUCCAACAAUUAUAAAUUUCCAAAUCGCCCGUAAUCGCAGGCACGACUUUCCGAAAAUUUAACCCUGCAAGGGUGCUUUCAACUUCCCAUUAUAAGUUCUGCAUGCAUACCCUAUUCCUCCAAGUUUAGGGCCGAUGAGAACCAACACGUAAACACGAUAAAUUCCAGGAGUUCGGGAUUAACAAGUUCCUCUAGCGAAUGCCAAAUUAAUCCAGAAGACCUCCUGGUGGAUCGACAUUUGGAUCAGAGCCGGAUGUAUCUUUAGACCCGAUCCCAGAUGGAUGGGCAAAGCUUUUGAUAGCCAAACCCCAAGUUUCCCCAUGGUGGCACCGGUGGCUGCUCAUUGUGGACCAAGCUUUUCUUAGGUGGUGGCCCAAGUUGUUUAUUAAGAAACCUCGGGUUCAUGACUCUCUAUGCAAGUUUUAUGUUGGCAAAAUUUAGUAUCAAUAUUGGGCCUUCUAGAAGAGUUCAAUGCUAGAUAAAGGAGUUCAAGGGGGCCAUAAUAACCCGCACAUGGUAGGAUGCGCUCAUCAAGGAACAUAUAGCCAGAACAACGGAAAGUAGGGUUGACCAGAGUGGAAAAAAUUACCAAGGCAUAGGCCUGAGCCUUCCACCCUUAGUCAAGUAUGUAUUUCAUCAUGCAUGGUUCCACUUGCACUUAAAACUGAACAUGCGAGGUUAGUGUGGCUCCAAUACAUAUCUUCACCAUGUUAGAUGGCGUGUUAGAGUAGCUAUUGACAUGAAAAUUGAACACUUGCUGUCAGACAAUAAAUAUAUCUGCAAGUCCACCACAAGACCGGAUGAGUUCACAGAACAAUGGCCGGCUUUAUACGUUUUUUUCCUGUUUUUUUCUUUUCUUAUACGUUCUUUUUGUAUGUCAUCAUGCGAUAAGCGUGAUAAGCCAGCUACAAACCUUGAUGGUUAUACGGGUUGUACGUCAGCCGAAGACUUUGGAUCAAUCAUUGGCACUCGUUCACUACAUAGGUGUAGCAGACUAACAAAUGAUAAAGAGCUUUCGUUCUAAGAGUAGCUCUUGUUUUGAUGUUAGUGGUUUUGUGCGGAAGCCAUUUGUAUUUGAGAAAUUUUAACAUGAUCCCAAACUAUUUUAGCCAUCUAUGUUUUUUGAUCCAAGGGCCAUAUAAUCUCUUAUCAUCUAAGAAGUAAGAUUACUAAAUAGGCAGUAAAUUUUUCAUUUUUCGAAGGGCUCCGAUUAAUACUAUGGAAACAUACUGCUAAGAACUCUUGUCAUAUAGACUAUUACGUUAAAUAAAUAAAUACUUUCAAAAAGAGUAUGCAAUGUAACUUGUAUACACAUCAAAUGUUUGCACGGUUAAAAAAUUUACUAGCUUGACAUGCCAACAAAAUUGCUACAUACAAUUUAAAUCAUCCAUUUGCUUUCAAUCAGAUUUCAAUUUCUUCGAAACAAAAUUUGAGAAUCCAUUGACAACACUCUUUUCCACAUGCAAAUUAAAUUAAAUUUAUUUAUUUUUCAAAGAAUUUAAGGCACGGACAAUUUGAGCCAUCCAACCAUACUUAUUUUUUUAAUAUACUGGAACAUUUUUAAAUGUUUCGUAUAUAUGUACUAUGAGAAGUAAAAGCUGCUUAGAGCAAGUACAUUAACAGGCUUAUAGCCUGCUUACAUGACAAUUUUGCCUACGUGAAGAAGGGUAUACAUGACGAAGAAAGGGGAGUGGACUCUCAUGCAAGAGCUUUAGCUAUACGCGUGCUCUUAGGAAGAUGCAAUAGAUUCUUAAAAAAGGAAGAUACAUUAAAUGUGAAGAAAGAGAUAGAGAGAGGAUGAAAAAAACACUAGUCUUAUAGCCAAUCUUAUAGCUAACCUUGUUUUAUGAAUGACUAUAAGUGAUGAAUAUAGAUGACAUGACAGCAUCGUAUAGCCGACAGUUGGUUGUACUAUUAGCCAUGCUCUUCGAAUGUUUCAUCUUCAAAACACAUUGAUUUAAUUAUUGUAAUAUCCUUGAUUUCGUGAGGAAUUUAUAGGAAAGACAAUAAUGUGCAUUAUUAAUUUCCUUUUUAUGCCACGAUGUAUUAAUUGGAGGGUCAAAUAUGAUCUUUUUGCACAAUAAAAAUCACCAAUAAUCAAUGGCUAGGAUUCGAUGACUCUUACCUCUCUAGAUGUAAGAAGAACCAUUGUAAAACUGCUCUUGCUUUUUUCCUUUGUGCACAUGGAUGUCGUCUCUAUUUUGCUCCGUUAGUUUUGAUAUUGGAACCCUAACCUUACUGUAUCAUAUGGAAAAAAAAUAAUAUAUUGCUGCUAUCUAACAACGGAAUAUCAUCGGGAAAAAAAAUCUAUUUUGGACCAAUGGGAAUACGUACAUCAUCACCGUCUGCAUGCAAUCAUUAAUGCAAAAACAAUUUAGAAACUGAGCACCGAAUCAAUUUGGAAAUCAAGUCAUUAAUGUAAUUAAUUAGCCAGAAUGUUAAUUACAUAUGCAAUUAAUUAGGUCCAUUUAAGCAUGAUUUUUUCACGCAGAAUUAAUAAAUAUCAAGUCAUUAAUGUAAUUAAUAAAUUAGGCGGGCAAUUAAUUUGGCCUACAAAUAAUUAGAAGUAGGUAUUUCUUUUCGAAACGUGUUUUCUCUAAUAGGCGUAGUCCACUUUUCUAGCUAUUCUUUCCAAAACCACUCAUAAUCUACCACUUCACAUGUCACCACUCUUCAUGCUCAAUACAUAAAACCAAUAUCACAUCAAGCAUAUCCAUCAAGAAAUUCAGAAAAGUCACGUUGACCGGAUGUGUGUCAGGUGAGAUAGUGUGUGAUUCUUUGUAACACCCACCAUGCGAUCCUAGCCUCAGUGAAGACUUUGCUAUCCUCGCUAAGGAUAGAAUCCCAUAUUGGUUGCCCUAGAAUAUGACUUCAUAACAUACACGCAAUGUCAUAUGCUGGUGAACAAAGAUGGAACAUCACAAGAAGUACAACUAUACAAGAUAAAUGAGUUUAAUACGAGUAAACAAAAGGGCGAACAUAUGCCAAUAUGAUAAUAUAGUUAUACACCAAUCAUAGGUCACAUGACCGAACAUUACAACACAAAAGAAACAUGGGUCCGAGUACGGACAAGAACCGAAGUUGCCUAAAGAGGCUAGAACAUAAGCAAACGUCCCAUAACCAACGGGUUUCAAGAUGCCAAAACCGGGAUCUACUAGUCGUCAUCGAAGAAGAACUCCACGAAGAACAUUCUGCGCUCCCAGAGCAAAGCUUUACUUAGCAUGUACAUGCACCUGGGGAUGUUGUCGUAUUUGUGAGCCUUGAGGACUCAAAAGUCCCGUUACCAAGGGUACCAAGACUAACAAUACUUAUUGGUUGGAUAUGGUUAAGUGUUGAGGUUGCAGCACAAAGCUAAGCAAUGUAACCAACUAGUCAUACCAAUACUAGAACAAGAUGAGAUCAACCUACACAACGUGGUCGCAAAUUAGUUGAUCAAUAAGUGAUCCUAAUCACCUGCCUACGAUUCCCAACAUCACCCACCAUGUUCUCUUCUUGCUUGCAUACCCACAAGAAGAGACAAUCGAUACACACACGUUGAAGCAAGUUUUAUUUAUUAGUUGAAGUUGUCUAUGCCUGGCAUUAUUGGUGGGAAAUGUAGUAGAAAACAAAAAAAUCGCCAAACAAUCAACCAGGAACACUAUGAAGAUGCAAUAACGGUUUGGAUCGGAUCGUUACCAACUCCGAGUUGCAGCGGAAGAAGACGAGUCAGUGUAGAUCAUACUUGAAGUCCCCCAAACCGUCAACGAACGAUCCCUCGAACCAUCCAUGAACAUUCCCUCGAGGGGAAGACUGAAUGCAAGGACUCUCCACAGAUGACAAGCGUACGGUCUCCACGAUCUGGGAACACUUCACCGUGCAAAGCUAAUCAUCGCCGGAGAAUUAGAGGGAGGGUAUUAGAGCCAUACUUGGCUUAAUUAUGAGGAUUAGAGGAUCUCUAGCCCUAAUUGGAUCAACAAGAACUAGAACUAGAGAACUAGAGGAGCCUCCAAAAACUUGUGUGUUCAAAAGUGCCCAAAACCUCUAGUAUAUAUAGGUUAGAGGAAGGGAAGGAGGCGCCACACAAGGGGGAAGUCUCCCCCCUUGGCCAGCCAAGAGGAGGGGGGCGGGGACUUCCCUCCAAUUUGACCUCCCCCUUCCUACUACAAGGGGAAGGGGGCAUCACCACUAUUGGGCCCAAGUAGUCCAAGUAGCUCUCCACCACUUGGCCUUUUAAGGCCCGUUGAUAUUGAAAUAAAUAUAAAAGCACCCUUAUCAUAUUUCAAGCCUUUUAAUAUUAAUUUAACAUCACUGGAAAUUAUUUCCACCUAUAUAUAUAAUUUAUCGGUAUUACUCAGUAACCACGACACGCUUUCUGUUCCUCUCAAAACUAUUUUGAAUAUUAAUGAAACUAUUUCAUAAAUAUUUUCUCCUUACUCCUGUCCUACUAAUACUCCGCAGAUCAUGAUUACCUUAAGUUUGUGACGAUGUAGGUUCGGUAAAACAUAGAUAUGAACAAAACCCCUUCCGCUCAAUGACCAAUAGCGGAACCAUGGACAUCCAUAUCGAUCCCUAUGAGUACACGAAUGACAUUUGAGUGAACCUUUGGUUAUCAUGUGAUAUUCCCUUUGCUUCAUGAUACUUUACAAAACACGAGGUGAGAUAUAUCAGUAUCCUCUUGAGUUAUACACAUGCUCACUAUACCAGUCUCCACGUUACCGGUUUCGUUCUUCUUUCUCAUUGACAUGUUCCGGCAUCCCUCGGACAUAGUCACCUGUGUGUGGCCAGACAAUGACUGAUGUUGUCACACCAAGAUGGCCCUAAGAAUAUCUCUCCAUUAUCGUAGGAGCAAAUUCCACUCUUGAGCUAUCUAGUCCCUUGUCAAAAUUUUCGAUGAACCUGUAAGUUGUUGUUAUGAUCACCAUGUUACAGAUGACGUUUGAGCAGCCCCAAAGUUCAUAGUACGGCACUACAAAAAAAAGACACAUCCGUGACAUUUUGGGCCGAACAAUUUUUUUUUCUGUCAUACAUAUGACACUUCUAUGGCGAUAAUUGUGACAAAACCCGGUAUCAUCAUAGAUGUGGUGGGCUCCUACUUAUAUGAAAAAAAAUCAUGACAGAAAAUGGGCUUUUCGUCCUGGGCGGGCCGGAGACGCAACUGCAUGAGAUUCUUUGGACCGUCCAUGACGGAAAAACCGUGGUAGAAGCGAGGGGGAGGAAAAUUUCGGGGAGUUACCGAUUACGGUGGGAGGUCGGGGGCCGAGCGAUGCGCGUUUCUCUCGUACACGUGCGAGGCGUUGGCUCUAACUAAACCCGAGCGAGGUGUUGGGCUCUAACUGAACCCGAGCGAUUGCACUGCAGGCUACGCGUUACUGAACCCGAGCGAUCGAGAUGGCUGUUAACUAAACCCAAUGGAGCNNNNNNNNNNNNNNNNNNNNNNNNNNNNNNNNNNNNNNNNNNNNNNNNNNNNNNNNNNNNNNNNNNNNNNNNNNNNNNNNNNNNNNNNNNNNNNNNNNNNNNNNNNNNNNNNNNNNNNNNNNNNNNNNNNNNNNNNNNNNNNNNNNNNNNNNNNNNNNNNNNNNNNNNNNNNNNNNNNNNNNNNNNNNNNNNNNNNNNNNNNNNNNNNNNNNNNNNNNNNNNNNNNNNNNNNNNNNNNNNNNNNNNNNNNNNNNNNNNNNNNNNNNNNNNNNNNNNNNNNNNNNNNNNNNNNNNNNNNNNNNNNNNNNNNNNNNNNNNNNNNNNNNNNNNNNNNNNNNNNNNNNNNNNNNNNNNNNNNNNNNNNNNGCCACACCCCUCCCAAUGAACAGGACCCCCGCUUCGACCUUAGUGCUCCAACACAAGUCCGUUUCAUCCGUUUUGCGGUAGGCCACACCCCUCCCGAUGAACAGGACCCCCGUUUCGACCGUAACGCUCCAACACAAGUCCAUUUCGUCCGUUUUGCGGUACGCCACACCCCUCCCGAUCAACAGGACCCCCGUUUCGACCAUAGGAGACCCUUUCCUCCGUUUUGCGGUACGCCACACCCCUCCCGAUCAACAGGACCCAGUUCCGAACGUAGGAGGUCCGUUUCCUCCGUUCUGCAGUACACCAGGCCUUGUUCCAUCGCCUGUUCCGUCCAAGCCCUCCCGAUGAACACGACCACGCAUUCCGUUCCGACCCAGCCGGUUGGCUCCCCAUGAACACGACGACGACAUUGUUUCUCCUUUCCGACCCAACCAUGUACGUAUGCGCGAGUAGGCGUUCGAGACCCUGCCCGUAUGUACGUACGUGGACGUAUUUUCUUUCUUGCACCCUCGCCGUUGUACAUACGUGUACAUGCUACAUGCGCGCCUCUACUACGACACGUGCACGCCUCUACAACGACCAGUAUGUACAUACACGUUUGCGACCAGAAUGACAACCCUACAUACGCUUCGACCAGGUGGGUCCCGACUGUCAGGCACUUCCUUGCGUGCGAAGAUGUAGCUGGUGGGUGCCAACAGUUAGGGGGGCGAAUCGUUUUUUUUGCCCGGACACACUUCCUUGCGUGCGAAGAUGUAGCUGGUGGGUCCCAACAGUCAGGGGGAAACGUUUUUUCAUGAAAUAUGGUGGCCCGUCCGGUGGGUCCCUGCUGUCAAGUGGAGGAAUAAUUACUUUUGCGCGUAAUAAGGAGGCACUUCCUUGCUGCGGCCGUGGACCCAGCUGCCAGCCUCUCCACGUACAGUCCACGUCCGAUGGAAGCCAUUCCUUGACCAUGUUGACCACGCCACGCCGAGAGCACCAGGGCGGUGGACGACGGCGAGGCCUAGGAAGGGGACGACGCGGAGCCGGGGAAGACGCGGCAGUGGAUGCCCACAUGUAGAGGAGUAUGAGGGUUCAUUGGUUCGCUGCCGUGUGAGGCUGCCGUAGCCGCAGAAUAACAGGGGGUGUGGGUGAGUAGAGGGAUGGCCUGGCCAGCGGUGGGAGUAGUAGGGGGCGGUGAGGCCUCCUCCGCAUCGCAGCCGGCCAUGGGAGGCAGGAGCACGAGGCACGACCGGCGCUGGUUUGGGCGGCUGGAGCAAGAAGACCAGAGGUUGAAGAAGCACUACGGCCGUUGGAUGGACAUUGUACGGUCACUGGAGCUAGAAUCGUGCAUAUUGACUAAGUUGACAAAGCCCUCCGUCCCCGUCAAGUUAGUAGGCCCACAAGUCAGCCUGCCACUAUAUUGGGUCCCAGCUAACAGGGGGAGUAUUCAUUUUUUUGCUUCCUUGCGUGCGAAGAUAUAGCUGGUGGGUCCGAGCUGUCAGCAGCGGUAACGUUUUUUUCGCAAAAUACAGAGGCCCUUUCGGUGGGUCCCUGAUGUCAGGUGGAGAAAUCAUUAUUUUGCGCAUAAUAAGGAGGCAUUUCCUUGCGUGCGGCCGUGGACCCAGCUGUCGGCCUCUUCACGUACAGUCCACUUCAGAUGCAUGUCGGUCGUUGACCAGGACGCGCCGAGAGCACCAGGGCGGUGGACGACGGCGAGGCCUAGGAAGGGAAUGACACGGAGGCAGGGAAGACUCGGCAGUUGUUUCCCACACGGAGGGGAGUACGACUGUACGAGGGUUUACUGGUUUGUCUGCCGUCGCCGGAGAAUAACAGCAGGUGUGGGUGAGUAGAGGGAUGGCUAGGACAGCGAUGGGAGUACGGUGGGGCAGUGAGGCCUGCGGGGCAGCACAGCCGGCCGCGGGGAGGAGGGAGCAGGCAGUCCCGCUGGCGCUUGUUUGAGCGGCUGGAGCAGGAAGAGCAGAGAUUGAAGAAGCAUGACGGCCGUUGGAUGGACAUCCAACAGUCACUGCUUGUGCGUCAACCUUUUUUUUAGGAAAGCCUCAAAUCUGUGGAAAACAGCAUACAACCCAUCUGCCAUUAUUUCUAAUAAUUUACAGCCCAUUCGCUAAUUCUUAAGGUUUUUUUUGGAGCCCAUAUUCUUUUUGUUAGCAUUACAGCCCAUAUUAUGGCCACGGUUAAAAAAUUAUACAAAAUUUUGCAUAUUUCUGUGCGGUCUGAACUGUUUUUAAUCCCGAAAUUUCGACUCACAUUCAAACUGAUUUUAAAAAUAAAUGUAUAUCAAUAUAAAAUCCAACAAAUUCUCCACGCAUAAAAAUUAAUGUAAUUUAAAAUCUCGAAAUGAGAAAAAGAUAUUUGAAACUAAUUGCCGGGUUGAUAUGUUUUAAAAAUGUACAACCCAUUUCUCAUUACUGAUAGGCCAUUUUCUCGGCCAGCCGAAUGAAGCUCUCCUUGUCUUGAAAGAUUUGCAUCCCAACAGGCCUGACAAAGCGACUUACUUGGCAAAUCACAAAAAAACUGGGUUGUGGCCUUGGACCCAGCUGUCAGCCUCUCCACGUACAGUACUCUUCCGAUGGAAGUCGGUCGUUGACCACAUUGACCACGCCACGCCGAGAGCACCAAGGCGGUGAACGACGGCAAGGCUUAGGAAGGGGACGACGCGGAGCCGUGGAAGACGCGACAGUGGAUGCCCACGCGGAGAGGAGUAUGAGGGUUCACUGGUUCGGCUGCGGCGUGAGGCUGUUGUCGCCACAGAAUAACAGGGGGUGUGGGUGAGUAGAGGGAUACCCUGGGCCAGCGGUGGGAGUAGUAGGGGGCGGCGAGGCCUCCGCAACAUCACAGCCGGCCACGAGAAGCAGGAGCACGCGGCACGACCGGCGCUGCUUUGGGCGGCUGGAGCAAGAAGACCAGAGGUUGAAGAAGCACUAUGGCCGUUGGAUGGACAUCGUACGGUCACUGGAGCUAGAAUCAUUCAUAUUGACUAAGUUGACAAAGCCCUCCAUCCUCGUCAACUUAGUAGGCCCACAAGUCAGCCACCCACUAUGGUGGGUCCCAGCUAGCAGAACAAUUAUUAUUAUUAUUUUGUAAGAACUUUCAACUUACGGAAUAAAAAUAUCAUUUUAAUUUGACGAGUUAAUAGUACGUGGGGUGUUAUUAUUUUUUAGGCUAGACGUGGGACAGUUGAGUUGGUUCUAGGGGAAAGUACUGGGAGAAAACUCAGUUUACAUCAAAAAAGAAAGUGGGAGAAAAUUCAGAGACCUGCUGGGUCCACCUGAGGAGAGGAAUAUGUUGGGAGGAAGGAGAUUCGAAGCACGGGAGCCGAGUGAACUAGUUUUUUUACGGACAAGUGAACCUUUUUUUACAUACAUAAGCAAAUAGCCACUAAAAAACCAAUCAGGUUAAUGGGUUCUGAAAAGAAAUAUUUCGGACAAAAUAGAUAAUUACGACACAUAGGCUAAUGCAUGAAACACUCAGAUGAUAAAGGUGCUUAUAAACAGAUAAAGUACAACAUCUAGACCUUCCUGCACGCUUGAUCAUGAUGUUGCGGCUGUCCGUGUACUCGUCGGUUACGGAAAGCAGACACACCCUCAUGUCCAAGAUUUGCCUGUACAUGUCGUAGCAUGCGUAUGCAUCCUUGGCCGCGUAGGUUAUGUAGGCUAGAUUCAGAGGUACCUCCCACGUGUUCAGGUCGUUUUCUUUCAUGUUGGCGUAUCAGGGGUCGAUGAUGGUCUCAGCGAGGUCAACCACGGAGUCCUUCUCUUGCCCAUUGCUGAUGAUCUUGUAUUGCUUCUGGAUGUCGACAAGCUUGUUGCACCAGAUGGCCAAAUCGUCGCGUUCUUCCUUCUCUCCACCAUAGCGAAGGUGCAGUCGGCGCUGCCAAUGAAACGGACGAAUGCCCCAGAACCUGGUGCAUCCAUAGGACUGAGGCGAGGCAGAGCUUCACCGAGUCCGUAUUGUUGGUGUACAUCACAUUCAACUUGGUGCAGCCAUAGGACUGAACGGCGAACUAACUCCUUGCUGAAGUCCAUAUCCAACAGGCUCACCCCUCGGAUCGCCAUUAGAGUCUUUUCGAGUGAACGAGUGUGUAGGCAGCAACAGCAAUUCGUUUUUCAGCUCUUGGGGAACUGGAUUCAACAGUAAGACUAUCCACAGUGGGAGUAACUUCAGUAGUAACAUCGAGUCCAACUCAGCAAAUUUACUUAUGUGGCAGUGAGUUAAUGAGGAGAGAGAUAGUUAUAGUAACUUAGCUAGUUACUGUAACAUCACAUGUCCCAAUGCAAUAUGAGCUAUAACCUAAUAAAUGAAGGGAUUUGUGUAUGUUACUGAUACGUCUCCAACGUAUCUAUAAUUUUUGAUUGCUCCAUGCUACUUUAUCUACUGUUUUAGGCAAUAUUGGGCUUUAUUAUCCACUUUUAUAUUAUUUUUGGGACUAACCUAUUAACCGGAGGCCCAGCCCAGAUUUGUUGUUUUAUGCCUAUUUCAGUGUUUCGAGGAAAAGGAAUAUCAGACGGAGUCGAAACGGAACGAAAUCAACUGGAGAAGUUAUUUUUGGAAGGAAAGCAACCUGAUGGACUUGGAGUGCAUGUCAGGGGAGUCCCGGGCUGCCCACGAGGGUGGGGGGCGCCCCCCUGGGCGUGCCCCCCUGCCUCGUGAGCACCCCGGAGGUCCACCGACGUACCCCUUGCACCCAUAUAUACCUACGUACCCUAAAACUUCCAUAACAAAAGAUAGAUCGAGAGUUCCGUCGCCGCAAGCCUCUGUAGCCACCAAAAACCAACCGGUGGCCAUCUUCAUCAUCCCGGUGCUAUCCAUGACGAGGAGGGAGUAGUUCACCCUUGGGGCUGAGGGUAGGUACCAGUAGCUAUGUGUUUGAUCUCUCUCUCUCAUGUUCUCUCUCGUGUUCCCUCUAUGGCACGAUCUUGAUAUAUCCCGAGUUGCUAUUGUAGUUGGAUCUUAUGAUGUUUCUCCCCCUCUGCUGUCUUGUGAUGAAUUGAGUUUUCCCUUCGAAGUUAUCUUAUCGGAUUGAGUCUUUAUGAGAACACUUGAUGUAUGUCUUGCCGUGAUUAUCUGUGGUGACAAUGGGAUAUCAUGUGCCACUUGAUGUAUGUUUUGGUGAUCAACUUGCGGGUUUCGUGACAUUGGGAACCUAUGCAUAGGGGUUGGCACACGUUCUUGACUCUCCGGUAGAAACUAUGGGGCACUCUUUGAAGUACUUUUAUGUUGGUUGGAUGAAUCUGAGAUUAUGUGAUGCAUAUCGUAUAAUCAUGCCCACGGAUACUUGAGGUGACAAUGGAGUAUCUAGGUGACAUUAGGGUUUUGGUUGAUUUGUGUCUUAAGGUGUUAUUCUAGUACAAACUCUUUUAUAGAUUGAUCCGAAAGAAUAACUUUGAGGUGGUUUCGUACCCUACCAUAAUCUCUAUGUUUGUUCUCCGCUAUUAGUGGCUUUGGAGUGACUCUUUGUUGCAUGUUGAGGGAUUGUUAUAUGAUCUAUCUAUGUUAUUAUUGUUGAGAGAACUUGCACUAGUGAAAGUAUGAACCCUAGGCCUUGUUUCCUAUCAUUGCAAUACCAUUUACACUCACUUUUACCACUUGUUACCUUGCUGUUUUUAUUAUUUCAGAUUACAAAAACCUAUAUCUACUAUCUAUUUUGCACUUGUAUCACCAUCUCUUCGCCGAACUAGUGCACCUAUACAAUUUACCAUUGUAUUGGGUGUGUUGGGGACACAAGAGACUCUCUGUUAUUUGGUUGCAGGGUUGUUUGAGAGAGACCAUCUUCAUCCUACGCCUCCUACGGAUUGAUAAACCUUAGGUCAUCCACUUGAGGGAAAUUUGCUACUGUCCUACAAACCUGUGCACUUGCUGGCCCAACAACGUCUACAAGAAGAAGGUUGUGUAGUAGACAUCAAGCAGUUUCUGGCGCCGUUGCCGGGGAGGUGAGUGCUUGAAGGUAUAUCUUUAGAUCUUGCAAUCGAAUCUUUUUGUUUCUUGUUUUAGCACUAGUUAGUCUAUAAAAGAAAAUUACAAAAAAAAUUGGAAUUAAGUUUGUCUCAUGCGCUUCACCUUUUUAAUAUCUUUCGUGAGUAUGAUGGAAAGGAUAAUUGUGCUCAAGUGCUAGAAGAAGAAUUCUCUAAAUUGUUUGGCACUAAAUCUUUGAAAGAUGAGCAUGAUUGCAAUGUUGUUAGUACGAAUUCUUUGAAUAUCCAUAAUACUAAUGAUGAUUGCACUAGUUAUGAUAAAAAUAUCUCUUAUGGGCAUCUCAACUUUUGUGGAGUGCAUGUUUGCAUGAACACACCAAAUAGAGAAGAUAUUUAUUGCAAGAGGCAUAAGUACUUAGAAACCAAAUUGUUGCAAGAAGAGCUAGAUGAAUGUGCUGAAAGAUUCAAUAUUUUUCGCGGUCCUUGUGAACUUUGCAAUAAACAUGGUCAUUUAAAGCUCCAAUGCUAUUUUUUCAUGAUCAAGUCGUGUCCAAAUAUUGUGAUAAUUUGAUUACCCUUGAGCAUCAUAAAGAGCUUAGCCUUCUUUUGGGUUAUGAAGAAAUGAAAUGUAUAACUGAGGGUAUUCCAAAAUUUGCCCUUGAUAAAGUUCUUCAUUUUGAUCUAGAGAAAAUUUAUAUGUAUUGUGCGGUGAGUCAUAUUGAAAAUCCUUAUAUUGCCAAUUACAUAAAGAAAAGAAAACAAAUAGAAGAUGAUGAGAAUACUAAUGAAAGGGAAGAGACUUCCCAAUAUCCUCCUAUUAUUUCUCAUGAUGAAUCAGGCAACGAGGGGGAGCUUUCUAUUCAACCAAUCUCAUCAAUAAGGAGAUCAAAGAGGAAGGUUGAACCCACACAUAAUGUGAAGAAGAAAAAGAAAAGAAGCAGCAACAAAGGUAGAGAGGUAUCCCUCCCAAAUGAUGUUGCUCCUACUACUCAUUGUGAUGAUGAUAAUUGCUAUACUAUUAGUGCUAUCUAUAUUUUUAAUGAUGAGAGUGAUUAUGCUUAUGAUAUGAAAGGGCCCAAGCUUGGGGAAGCUAUGUUUGAUGAGGAUGAAAUAUUUGAGAAUAUAUUUGCUGGAAUUAAUGUUUGUCCCAAGCUUGGGAAUGCUAUGUUUAAUGAAGAUUAUAUUUUUAGCAUCCCAAGUUUUGAUAUGCAAAGUUGUUAUGAUGAUAGCAUGCCUCCUACCUAUGAUGAUUAUAUUGAUGAAAGUGGGUUCGGAAGAGUGUCAAUUUUAGGAAGUAGUGAUCCCACUAUUUUGGAGGAUGUUGAAUUUUAUUGUGAUGAAUAUGAACGUGGAUUUGGAAGAGUGUCAACUUUAUUUAGUGAUUCCACUAUCUUGGGAGAGGUUUCAAUCGAUUAUGAUGAGAACGAAGUUGCUACUUAUGAUGAUUAUUGUGAUGAAACUUAUGCUAUAAAAAGUAGUGAUGAUUAUAUUUACAAAUCUUGUCAUGAUUAUGAUUACCCUUUUUCUGAACAUUACUCUUUUAAUGUGGAAACAAUUUUUAGUGUUCAAGUCUCUUAUGAUACUCCUACUAUUCCGAAUGAGAAGAAUUUUGCUUUUGUGGAGAGUAGUAAAUUUUCUAUGCUUGUAGAUCAUGAAAAGAAUGUUUUAGGUGCUGGUUAUAUUGUUGAAUUCAUUCAUGAUGCUACUGAAAAUUAUUAUGAGAGAAGAACAUAUGCUUGUAGGAAUUGCAAUAAUGUCAAGUUUCCUCCCUAUGUGCUUAAAUUCUUGAAGCUAUGCUUGUGUUACCUUCCUAUGCUAGUUGAUUAUUGUUCCCCUAAGUUGUUUUCUCACAAAAUCCCUAUGCAUAGGAAGUGGGUUAGACUUAAAUGUGCUAGUCAUAUUCUUCAUGAUGCUCCCGUUAUGUUUCAAUUCUUAUCUUUUAUGUGAGCAUCAUUGUCAUCAUCACGCCUAGCUAAAAAGGCAUUAAAGAAAAGCGCUUGUUUGGAGAUAACCCAAUAUUUAUCCUUACUGUUUUUGUGUGUCCACAUGAUUAUGCUACUGUAGUAAUCAUGUUUUAUAGCUUUUGUUUCAAUAAAGUGCCAAGUAGAACCUUUGGGAAGACUUGGGUGAAGUUUAUGUGAUCUUGCUGUGAAAAACAGAAACUUUAGCGCUCACGAGAUUAGCUGCCAUUUUUUACUGGAGAGAGAUUUUAGGUUGAUUCUUUUUGCAGAUGAUUAAUAGACAAAUUGCUAAGGUCCAGAAAUUUAUUUCAUAAUUUUUGGGGUUCCAUAAGUAUACGUUUGAUACAGAUUACUACAGAAUGUUCUGUUUUUGACAGAUUCUGUUUUCUAUGUGUUGUUUGCUUAUUUUGAUGCAUCUAUGGCUAGUAUUGAGUGGUAUGAACCAUAGAGAAGUUAGAAUACAGUAGAUAUUACACCAAUAUGAAUUUAGAAUGAGUUCAUUACAGUACCUAAGUGGUGGUUUUAUUUUCUUAUACUAACGGAGCUUACGAGUUUUGUGUGGUUGAAGUUUUCAAGUUUUGGGUAAAGAUUCGAUGGACUAUGGAAUAAGGAUUGGAAAGAGCCUAAGAUUGGGGAUGCCCAAGGCACCCCAAGGUAAUAUUCAAGGACAACCAAGAGCCUAAGCUUGGGGAUGACCCGGAAGGCAUCCCCUCUUUCGUCUUCGUUCAUCGGUAACUUUACUUGGAGCUAUAUUUUUAUUCGCCACAUGAUAUGUGUUUUGCUUGGAGCGUCAUUUUCUUUUGUUAGUAUUUGCUUGCUGUUAGUUAGAGUAAUGUUUUGCAUCUUUAGUUUAAAUAAAAAAGUCAAGGAUAGCCUUUGCCAUGCUUAUUUUGCUAGUUUGCAUGUUGCUGUUUGAAAACAGAAAGUUUACCGCUGUUGCAAAAAUUCCCUAGGAAAGUCAGAGAAUGGUAUAACGUUGAAUCUUUUUGCAUGUUGAGCUCUGAUAAAUUUAUUACAGUGGGAAUUUUAGUUCAUAAUUUUUGGAGUCAGGGAAGUAUUGAUACUCUUGCAUUCUUUACAGACUAUACUGUUUUGACAGAUUGCUGUUACGGUUGCAUUGUUUGCAUAUGUUUGCUUGUUUAAUGAUUCUAUUUGAGGAUAGGAGUAUUAAAUAUACAGAGGAAUUUAGUAUUCAAUGUUGAAUAAUAAUUUUAGUGAUUUGUCACAGUAGAAAAUGAUAAGGUUUUGCAUUGGUUUAUACUAACCUAUCUCACGAGUUCUUGUUGAGUUUGUUGUGAACGAAGCUUUUGAUAAAAAGAGAAACCAUGAUAUGAGAGGAAUUAAGGAUACACAAAAGUUCAAGCUUGGGGAUGCCCAAGGCACCCCAAGAUAAUAUUUCAAGAAGUCUCAAGCAUCUAAGCUUGGGGAUGCCCCGGUAGGCAUCCCACCUUUCUUCUUCAACAACUAUCGGUUAGUAUCGGUUGCGCCUAAGUUUUUGGUUCUUCACAUGAGUUGUGCUAUCCUUGCAUUGUAGUUUUCUUUAGCUUUGCUUGCUGUUUGGAUAAAGUAUCAAGAUCUGAAAUUCCUUUAAUGAGAGAGAGUCUUUGCAUAGUUGCAUAAUUAUUUGACUACUCAUUGAUCUUCACUUAUAUCUUUCGGAGUAGUUUGUCUUUUGCUCUAGUGCCUCACUUAUAUCUUUUAGAGCACAAUGGUGGUUUUAUUUUGAAGAAAUAUAUGAACUCUCAUGCUUCACUUAGAUUAUUUUGAGAGUCGUUAAUAGCAUGGUAAUUUUCUUAAUAUUAAUAUACUUAGUGUUCAAGAUAUGUGAAACUUUCUUUUGAGUGAAUUGAAUACUAAGAUAAGUUUGAUGCUUGAUAAUUGUUUUGAGAUAUGGAGGUGAUAAUAUGAAAGUCGUGCUAGUUGGGUGAUUGUGAAUUUGAGAAAUGCUUGUGUUGAAGUUUGCAAGUCCCGUAGCAUGCACGUAUGGUUAAAGUUGUAUAACAAAUUUGAAACAUGAUGUGUACCUGGCUUGUGCAUCCUUACGCGUGGCGGUCGGGGACGAGCGAUGGUCUUUUCCUACCAAUCUAUCCCCCUAGGACCAUGCGCGUAGUACUUGAUUUUUGAUGACUUCUAAAUUUUUGCAAUAAGUAUAUGAGUUCUUUUGACUAAUGUUGAGUCCAUGGAUUAUACGCACUCUCAUCUUUCCGCCUUUGCUAGCCUCUUCGGUAUCGUGCAUUUCCCUUUCUCACCUUGAGAGUUGGUGCAAACUUCGCCGGUGCAUCCAAACCCCGUGAUACGAUACGCUCUAUCACACAUAAACCUCCUUAUAUCUUCCUCAAAACAGCCACCAUACCUACCUAUUAUGGCAUUUCCAUAGCCAUUCUGAGAUAUAUUGCCAUGCAACUUCCACCAUCAUCAUAUUCAUGACAUACAUUACUUUUGUCAUAUUGCCAUUGCAUGAUCAUGUAGUUGACAUCGUAUUUGUGGCAAAGCCACCAUGCAUUAUUUUCAUACAUGUCACUCUUGAUUCAUUGCACCAUCCCGGUACACCGCCGGAGGCAUUCAUAUAGAGUCAUAUCUUGUUCUAAGCUUCGAGUUGUAAUCCUUAUGUUGUAAUCAAAAGAAGUGUGAUGAUCAUCAUUAUUAGAGCAUUGCCCUAUCAAAAAAAAGAGAAAGGCCAAAAGAAAAACAAAAGAAGGCCCAAAAAAUAAAAAAAAUAAAAAGGCAAUGCUACUAUCUCUUUUUCCACACUUGUGCUUCAAGGUAGCACCUUGUUCUUCAUGUAAUGAGUCUCAUAUAUUGUGCUUCAAAGAAGCACCAUGCUCUUCAUGUAGUGAGUCUCAUAAGUUGUCUUUUUAUACUAGUGGGAAUUUUUCAUUAUAGAACUUGGCUUGUAUAUUCCUACGAUGGGCUUCCUCAAAUGCCCUAGGUCUUCGUGAGCAAGCAAGUUGGAUGCACACCCACUAGUUUUCUUUUGUUGAGCAUUCAUAGCUCUAGUGCAUCCGUUGCAUGGCAAUACCUACUCCUCAUGUUGACAUCAAUUGAUGGGAAUCUCCAUAGCCCGUUGAUUAGCCUCGUCAAUGUUAGACUUUCUCCUUUUUUGUCUUCUCCACACAAUCCCCAUCAUCAUAUUCUAUUCCACCCAUAGUGCUAUAUCCAUGGCUCACGCUCAUGUAUUAUGUGUAGGUUGCAAAAGUUUGAGAUUAUUUAAGUAUGAAACAAUUGCUUGGCUUGUCAUCGGGGGUAUAGAAGUUGGGAACAUCUUUGUGUGACAAAAAUGAAGCAUAGCCUAACUAUAUGAUUUUGUAGGGAUGAACUAUCUUUUGCCAUGUUAUUUUGAGAAGACAUGAUUGCUUUGAUUAGUAUGCUUGAAGUAUUAUUACUUUUAUGUCAAUAUGAACUUUUGUCUUGAAUAUUUCGGAUCUGAAUAUUCAUGCCACAAUUAAGAAGAUUUACAUUGAAAUUAUGCCAAGGUAUCACUCCGCAUCAAAAAUUCUUUUUUAUCAUUUACCUACUCGAUGACGAGCGGGAAUUAAGCUUGGGGAUGCUUGAUACGUCUCCAACGUAUCUAUAAUUUUUGAUUGCUCCAUGCUACUUUAUCUACUGUUUUAGGCAAUAUUGGGCUUUAUUAUCCACUUUUAUAUUAUUUUUGGGACUAACCUAUUAACCGGAGGCCCAACCCAGAUUUGCUGUUUUAUGCCUAUUUCAGUGUAUCGAGGAAAAGGAAUAUGAGACGGAGUCAAAGCGGAACGAAAUCAACUGGAGAAGUUAUUUUUGGAAGGAAAUCAACCUGAUGGACUUGGAGUGCACGUCAGGGGAGUCCCGGGCUGCCCACGAGGGUGGGGGGCGCGCCCCCUGGCCUCACCCCCUGCCUCGUGAGCACCCCGGAGGUCCACCGACGUACCCCUUGCACCCAUAUAUACCUACGUACCCUAAAAGUUCCAGAACAGAAGAUAGAUCGGGAGUUUCGCUGCCGCAAGCCUCUCUAGGCACCAAAAACCAAUCGGGACCCUGUUCCGGCACUCUGCCGGAGGGGGAUCCCAUCAUCGGUGGCCAUAUUCAUCAUCCCGGCGCUAUCCAUGAUGAGGAGGGAGUAGUUCACCCUCGGGGCUGAGGGUAUGUACCAGUAGCUAUGUGUUUGAUCUCUCUCUCUCGCGUUCUCUCUCGUGUUCCCACUAUGGCACGAUCUUGAUGUAUCCCGAGCUUUGCUAUUGUAGUUGGAUCUUAUGAUGUUUCUCCCCCUCUACUCUCUUGUGAUGAAUUGAGUUUCCCCUUUGAAGUUAUCUUAUCGCAUUGAGUCCUUAUGAGAACACUUGAUGUAUGUCGUGCCGUGAUUAUCUGUGGUGACAAUGGGAUAUCAUGUGCCACUUGAUGUAUGUUUUGGUGAUCAACUUGCGGGUUUCGUGACAUUGGGAACCUAUGCAUAGGGGUUGGCACACGUUCUUGACUCUCCGGUAGAAACUUUGGGGCACUCUUUGAAGUACUUUUAUGUUGGUUGGAUGAAUCUGAGAUUGUGUGAUGCAUAUCGUAUAAUCAUGCCCACGGAUACUUGAGGUGACAAUGGAGUAUCUAGGUGACAUUAGGGUUUUGGUUGAUUUGUGUCUUAAGGUGUUAUUCUAGUACGAACUCUUUUAUAGAUUGAUCCAAAAGAAUAACUUUGAGGUGGUUUCGUACCCUACCAUAAUCUCUACGUUUGUUCUCCGCUAUUAGUGGCUUUGGAGUGACUCUUUGUUGCAUGUUGAGGGCUUGUUAUAUGAUCUAUCUAUGUUAUUAUUGUUGAGAUAACUUGCACUAGUGAAAGUAUGAACCCUAGGCCUUGUUUCCUAUCAUUGCAAUACCAUUUACGCUCACUUUACCACUUGUUACCUUGCUGUUUUUAUUAUUUCAGAUUACAACAAAAACCUAUAUCUACUAUCUAUUUUGCACUUGUAUCACCAUCUCUUAUUUACCAUUGUAUUGGGUGUGUUGGGGACACAAGAGACUCUCUGUUAUUUGGUUGCAGGGUUGUUUGAGAGAGAUCAUCUUCAUCCUACGCCUCCUACGGAUUGAUAAACCUUAGGUCAUCCACUUGAGGGAAAUUUGCUACUGUCCUACAAACCUGUGCACUUGCAGGCCCAACAACGUCUACAAGAAGAAGGUUGUGUAGUAGACAUUAGUUACUAGUGUAUGUUACUACCCAUUGUGGCUAGUCUAAGCUGAGUGUGUACAGGCGACAACAGUUACUACCCCUCCCUCGUCCACUGCAUGCCCGACAGAAGAUGCACCCUCGGCACAUUCAAACGCCUCCAUUAAGAAACCUACUCCGGCCACACGUCGGUUCACGAGCUGGUCUGUAUUGGUACUGUAAUAAUAGGAGUUAGUGGUCACUUUCCUUAAAUUUAAUUAGCUUUAAUAGAAAUUUAUACUUAAAACAAGAAAUGCAUUGGCUCAUUCUAUCAGUGCCACGGGAUCAACAUGCACAACAAUUAGAAUUAUUAUUCUCGGGACGCACACGAUUAGCACAUUUGUCGCACUUUCACAAAGAUAAUAUAGCAAGUUUGAACUGUUUAUUAUGGUUGUUGUCCUCUGCAUCAUCAUGCCGUGUUUCCCAGCUUGCAAGAUUCAGAACCAACAAAUAAGAUCCAAAUAAUAAGUACAACAAAGAUGCCUACACAUCUCAUUGAUUCCCAGCUUGCAAGAUUCAGAACGAACAAAUAAGAUCCAAAUAAUAAGUACAACAAAGAUGCCUACACAUCUCAUUGAUUCCCAGCUUGCAAGAUUCAGAACCAACAAAUAAGAUUCAAAUAAGAAGUACAAAAAAGAUGCCUACACAUCUCAUUGAUUCCCACCUUGCAAGAUUCAGAACCAACAAAUAAGAUUCAAAUAAGAAGUACAACAAAGAUGCCUACACAUCUCAUUGAUUCCCAGCUUGGAAGAUUCAGAACCAACCCAUUAGAGCCUUUUGAUAAAGUGAAUAUCGGGAUUAAAUCCAUCUUGGCUAGCCAUGCCAUACAAUCGAAGAACUUGGCGAAUGCUCUUGACCGUCACAACAUCUGUAGUUGGGUAUUCCCGUUUGCACAGCAUGUUUGCACAGCACAAAUAAGGAGACAGGAAAGCAUGAUUUCACUUUAAUAGCGGCCUCCUUGAACUCAACCUCCAGGUCCACUAGGAUGAGGUCUGCCUGGAGUUCCAUGAUUCAAUUCAUGCGCCUUUUUCUGCGGUUCACCUGAAAUGAAGCAAAGAUUGCAUCAUUCAGCUAGCAAGAAGUACUUGCUCUUGUGAGCUGGCAGGUUCUUUUUUAGUAGUUGCACUAAAAUUGAGGAACAUUAAGGUUUGCUGUCCGGCUCAUGUAAGGUGCAACUAUAAUUUUCUUAUCCUUUUGUGCAGUUCCACUAAAAUAAAGUGCCAUUAUGGUGACAGUGACGACUCCAUCUUGCAAAGGCUAAUAAAAUGUUGCACGAGAUUACCCGCAGAACUUGACAGAGAUUUUGGAAACUCCAAUCACCAUUUUGUGCAGUUCCACCAAAAUUGAGAGAUGUUGCCCACGUGACAUUUUAGUUGAACUGCACGAGACACUCAUUCAAAAAAAAGUGUUUUGUGAAGUUCACCAAAAGGUCACAAUAGCAACAAGAUGAAAUGGAUAUCCCUAUCUGCACAAAAUGAGAGAAAGUAAACAGUUGCUGGUCAAUAAGAAUAUACGAAACAUAUACAAAAUGAAAAGAAGCAUCUUAAUUAUGUUCAUGGCAAUCACACAAGGACAGUAGAAACUGUAAAACGUCAGCAAUGCUUCAUGUUACCAGAAGCAUUACAAUCGACAAUGAGAUUCCUCAGAUAUGGGAUUACUUUAAUGGUGGCAUUGCUUGUUUACCAGACACAGUAAAUCAGCAGCAGCUAAAGAGUUGGUUUAAGGGCAUGGGACCAUGGGGACACCAGGACACUCAGCAGUGUAAAGGAGCAACUUACUUAUCAUACUGGGGAAAACAGCAGGAGUGCCAUUUGUAACACAGUUUAAUUGCAUCUUAUCACUGGAGGCAUUAGAUUAACAAUACUGGUUAGACAUGUCCCUAAGGUAACAAUGUGAUCGCUUCAUUUUACAUGCACCCUUACAUUAACAAUAGCAAAAGGUUGGUAUAAGGACAUACGACAGUGGACGCAUUAGCACAAUGUACCUACAAGGAGGCAUAAAGUGGUGAUGCCGAGCUUGUUCACGCUAUGUGAGGGCAGCAAACCAAAUCCUGGAGACCUUUUACUAUGUGAGGGCAGCAAAUCUAAUCCUGGAGACCUUUUACUAUGUGAGGGCAGCAAAUCUAAUCCUCAGACCUUUUACUAUGUGAGGGCAGGAAAUCUAAUCCUGAGACCUUUUACUAUGUGAGGGCAGCAAAUCUAAUCCUGAGACCUUUUACUAUAUGAGGGCAGCAAAUCUAAUCCUGGAGACCUUUUACUAUGUGAUGGCAGCAAAUCUAAUCCUGGACAUACUCUGUUGACUUGUCCACCAGCCGCCACUUUCUAUCCUUUUUUUCAACCAAUAAUAGAUCUGUUCCUUAUCCAGUUUGUACUGCGUUUUCCCAUUAUUUCCCUUUUCAACCAAGAGACCGGUUGGGUAUCCGGUCUCUACUACUUUCACCAUAUUAUUUCCUCUUUGAAUCAAGUCCUAGAUUCAUGCUACAGCUUUCCCCCCUUUCUUUGUUGUUUGAACAAAGCCCUAGAUUCGAAUGCAUGAAGUAGCUUUACCUCUAAUAAUACUAAAAAUUUAGGUGGCUUUGGAAGAGCUGAUGGGUGUAGAAAAAGAUGCACAUGCAGACACGUGGGGAGCUGGGGCAGUAGAGCAAGGCCGCUUUCGAAGAACUUAUACCUGAGGGUCGCCGAGAUGUCGGCGGCGGCAGGUCGGACCUGCGGACAAUACGGCAGGGAGGAAGAAGGAUCGGAGGACCUCCCAAGCUGACACUGUGUCGGAGAGAACGGCAUGGGCAGAGGAUCGGGCCCCUCCGGCAGCUGUGGGUUUCCUCCCUCGGCGGCGAUGACCGCGUGAAUGAUGCACCUUUUAGUCCUCUACACACUGGCCAAAGGGAUCCGACUGGAUCUGUGACCAGCGGUGAGCAGAGAGAAAAUGUCGCUACCGUUGUCUUGUUUAUAUAUGGAGAGGAUGAGAGAAUGAAGAGAGCAACCCUAGUAAAGCAAGCGCUCAGGCCCCUGCGUCCAUAUAUAGUGGAGUGAUUAUCUUUUUUCUCUCCACAACAAGCUUUUCAAUUUGUGUACGUGGCAUUAAAGAAAAGAAACUCUCUAUUUAAGGUGACUACUCUACGACUCCUACUUACUACUACAGUAUUGUUCACUUGUGCUCCCCGCCCCUCCAUUCAUUGAACAACCCCACGGGUGAAUAAACAUACUGUAAGUACUGUAUUUAUAUAGAACGAACAAGCUCGAACUAUUUUCGUGUAGUUAAAAGUUGAGGGCGGGGCUUUUCCCGGACAGUACGCGCGGCAGUUUUCGGGUAAGCGGUUUGACAGAGAGGCGAGGAGGGUGAGCGAGUGGGGCUAUGCAAUUUGAUGGCGCGUUACUGCUGGAAAGACUUGUGAUAUGACCACUCACUAUAGUCAUGAAUUACUGGUGCUCCGACCGGGCCGGGGUGAUGCCCCCCUUCCGUUCUGCGCUCUAAUCUGGUGCAUGACACAUCGACCCGGAUGCUGGCUCUCCCACAUGUCGGAGUAGUAAGAAGGAGCAAAGAAUGAUGCAGUAUAUACUAGUACUAUACUACUCCAUCCGUUCCUAAAUAUAAGUCUUUGCAGAGAUUUCACUAUGGACCACAUACGGAGAAAAAUGAGUGAAUCUACAUAUAAAAUGCAUCUAUAUACAUCCAUAUGUGGUCCAUAGUGAAAUAUCUACGAAGACUUAUAUUUAGGAACGGAGGGAGUACUACUCAGGUCAGAGGAGUGCGAACCACGGCAGCCCAGUGAACCAGCUGUGCGAACCACGGUAGCCCAGUGAACCAGCAGUAGAAAACAAUGUGGUGAUAUGGCCAUAAAAAACAAUGUGCUACGGUCCACACUGUAGCAUGUACAGUAACACUCCUCUUUGUUUGGAUCCCUGAGUUAGAGCUAGUUUGGGUUGAAUAGCCUCAAAUUAUCAAAACAAGAGGGGUUAGUUUGAGCUAGUUUGCUCUAACCCAGCUAAAAAAACUAGCCCGGUGGAGAGGUUCUAAUUGGGUUAGUUAUCCUCGGGCCCACUAAAAGAGAACUAAAAAAAGGUCACCUGCCCGUACCAGAUUGCUCCCCUAAAAAAAUCUCACCUGCCCGCACCAGAUCGCUCCCCCCCUCUCGCACGACUCCUCUCUGUUCCCCAUAGGGCCGCCCGCCCAAGCGCCGCUUGCCCUCUCUCUCCUCCGGCCGCCCUCUCCUUCCGGCCUCCGCCGCCCUACUCCGGCCGCCCUCUCCCUCCGACCUUCGAAGGUCGCCUCGCUCCCCCUUCACCAGUCAUUUUUCUCCCUCAGUCGUGCGCGGCGGUGGCGCAUCUACCAGGGAGGUCGCGAGAGGGGUGAGUUUGUUCGUUCCUUCUCUGUCUCACGACUAUAAGGGCAUAUUUAUUCCCAAUAUAUUUUGGUGAUUGAUGACAAUGCUUGUGCGGACUAAUCGUGUGCGUUUAGUUCUUUCAGAGAUUCAUCCAUUGGCACGAGACGAUUUCCUCCCCUCGUGUUGUAAUUCAAGACGGUGUAGCUCCUUCGUUUCGUUGUUGGUGGACUAGUUUCGUAGGAGUCACCGUACUAUCAAGAGGGGAUCCAUUUUGGUAAGACUUGGGUGGAAUCUCACGUACACAUCCUUAUCACACCCGUCGUCUUUCCUUCCGCAUCUCUGGAGCUGCCGUUUUCCCCUUACUAUGCUCUUCUUUGCCCUAGCGGUAGUACCGCGUCCGCAACGGUAGUACCGCCGAAACUCCACAGCGGUAGUACCGCUCUCAGAGCGGUAGUACCGCUUGGGUUUUUCGGCCGUAGUACCGCUGUGCGUCUGGGCUACUUCCACCUCGAUUCUCGAAUGAAUUUUUCAUGUCGGGUUUUGCGGCACUAAGGGCGGUAGUAGGGGUGGUAGUACCGCUCUAAGCGGUAGUACCGCCCUUCCCUAGCGGUAGUAUCGCCCUGGUGUCAGGGCCCUGGGCAGCGCGGCAGUACCGCUGGGUCGAAGCGGUAGUAUCGCCCGGAGCGGUAGUACCGCUCUUCCCUGGCGGUAGUACCGCCCUGGGGUCAGGGCCCCAGGCAGCGCGGCAGUACCGCUAGGUCGAGCGGUAGUACCGCUCGGAGCGGUAGUACCGCCCUUCCCUAGUGGUAGUACCGCUCUGUGCGGGGCUGGUGAGUGGGAUAACAGUUGGAUUGUUCUUCCCACUAUAUAAAGGGGUCUUCUUCCCCAAAGUUGACCUACCUCUUUCCCCCAAAGCUCCAUUGUUGGUCCAAGCUCCAUUUUCGCCCGAUCUCUCUCCCUAGCCAAUCAAACUUGUUGAUUUGCUCGGGAUUGGUUGAGAAGGCCCAGAUCUACACUUCCACCAAGAGAAAUUUGAUUCCCCCCACUUAUCCCUAGCGGAUCUUGUUACUCUUGGGUGUUGAGCACCCUAGACGGUUGAGGUCACCUCGAAGCCAUACUCCAUUGUGGUGAAGCUUCGUGGUGUUGUUGGGAGCCUCCAAGUGUUGUGGAGAUUUCCCAAAUCUUAUUUGUAAAGGUCCGGUUGCCGCCUUCAAGGGCUCCAAUAGUGGAAUCACGGCAUCUCGCAUUGUGUGAGGGCUUGAGGAGAUUACGGUGGCCCUAGUGGCUUCUUGGGGAGCAUUGUGCCUCCACACCGCUCUAACGGAGACGUACUUCCCCUUAAAAGGAAGGAACUUCGGUAACACAUCCUCGUCUCCACCGGCUCCACUCUUGGUUAUCUUGUCCCUUUACUUUUGCAAGCUUACUUGAGUUAUAUCCAUUGCUUGCUUGUGUGCUUAUUGUCUUUGCAUCAUAUAGGUUGUCCACGUAGUUGCACAUCUAGACAACCUAUUUCAUUGCAAGUUUUAAUUUGUUAAAGAAAAGUCUAAAAAUUGUUAGUUGCCUAUUCACCCCCCCUCUAGUCAACCAUAUCGAUCCUUUCAAUUGGUAUCAGAGCCUCGUCUCUUUAUUAAGGACUUUGCCGUCCGAAGAGUAUGGUUGACGUCAACGACGGUGCGGAGGAACACUCUGGUGUGAAUCCCAUCUCGUCUUCGGCCGAAGGGGGAACCUCGGUCUCACGUGAGGAAUUCAAUGUGGCUUUAAACACAUUGAAAACCUCCAUGAUGGCCGAUGUUAAAAGCAUGUUUACUGAAUUUCUAGAGGGACUUAAACUAUCUACCUCACCAAUGAAAGUGGGUGAUCCCACUGACAAGGUGACGGAUGCUAACUCCGAUAAGGGGGAAGCUAACAAUGAAAAGAGUCCAUCUACUAGUGGUAGAAAUGGCACCGACAUCUUUGCCCAUGUGGAACCCCCGGUGUAUAGAGGACCGAUCCCCUCUACUCAUUUGAAUCAUGCCGGUCCUCCUCCUAAAUAUGUGAAAAAUGAAGAUUUUGAUGCUUGGCUCUAUCGCUUCAAGCGUCACUUAAAACAUGUGAACACUAACCUUUGGAGAAUUAUUGAAGAAGGUUUCUAUCCUCAUGAUCCAAGCAACUUCACCCCUCGAGAAGAAGUGGACAAUCAAUUAAAUGAAAGUGCUCUCUUCAUCAUCCAAGAUGCAAUCCUUCCCGAAGAUCUCCCUCAUCUUCGACCUCAUGCCAUGGCUAAAGAAGCAUGGAAAUGUGUCGAGCGUCUCUAUCGAGGAAGUGCUAGCAUUCAACGCUCCAACUAUGAAGUGGCAAAAGAUGAAGCCGAUGAGUUUGCAAUGAAGGAGGAUGAAGAACCUCAUGAGCUCUUUCGAAGAGUGACCAAACUCGCGGUCGCACUCCGAGAUCAUGGAAGCAAGGACACGGAUGGCAACUGGAUCAAGCGCAAGUUCCUCAAGGCCAUGAUGCCCUACAACAAGGCCAUGUCCUCCGUCAUUCGCCAAAGACUGGACUUCCACUCCAUGACCUCUAGUGAAGUGUUGGAUGAGUUUGUUGCAAUGAGCAUCUUGGACAAGACCGCCGACAAUGCGGUGCUCCGUUCCCAAAGGGCAAAGAAGCCCAAUCUUGCCUUGAAGGCCAAGGCUAGUGUGGAAGAAGAAGAAGAAGAGGAAGAUGAGGAGAGCAACCCCGAGGACACGAAGUAUGAUUAUCAUGAGCACAUGGCUCUUGCCUCAAGACAGUUUUGGAGUAAGAAGAAUACAAGACCCAACUUCAACAAGAACAACUCAAGUGGCCUCAAAGGGAAGCAACGAGUUAGAACCUAUUUCAACUGUGGCAAUGUUAGCCAUUUCGUUGUGGAUUGUCCCUACGAGAAGCGGGAAGACAAUGGUGGCAAGUUCAUCCGAAAAGACAAAGCCAAGUCCUUCCCAAACAAGAACAACUUCACCAAGAAGACUCCGUCUCGCGGGUUGGUGGUUCAAGAAGAAUACUGUGAGGAUGACGAUGAUGAUGAAGAUGGUGAAACAAUGGCCAUGUCAUCCGUUGCCAUUGUCACAACUCCCCGGGUGUCUCUCUUCGAUGCACCUAACGAGAACAUCACCGCCAAGUGCCUCAUGGCUAAGGCCACCAACAAGGUAACCUCCAACAUCAAAACCACCAUUAUUCCUAACCCUCCUUCAAUGAAUGAUUUUGAUAAUGGUAAGGGGUCUAAUGAGGAGAUCAAUGAAUUUGAGUCCUUCAUGAGUAAGCUCAAGGGCAAAUCCAAGAAGCACUUUGUUGCUCUCUUGGAACAACUUGGUGAAGCCAAUGACAUGAUCGAGGCUCACGAAGAAACCAUCUCUAAGAUGGAAAGUCAUAGUCGUGACUAUGCCGAUGAGAUAUCGGAUCUCUCUAAUGCUCUUGAGGAAGAGCGUGAGCAUCGUUUGGCUCUUGAGGAGUCACACAACGAUGGUCAUGCUAAACUAAAGAAAGAUCUUGAUCAUGCUCUUGUUGUGUCUCUGUUCUAGCUUCCGAGAAGGCUAAGCUUGGGGUUGAUCAUGUUAGACUCACGGAGGAGUUUGAUGUACUUGACAAGGCCCACAAGGUCUUGAAAGGUGCUGAUGCUACCCUCAAGGAGUCUCAUGCUCAACUCCAAGUUAAGCUAACCAAGGAAAAGGCCACAUUUCCUCACAUGGUCUUAAUUGAUAAUGCAAAUGCUACUAACCCUUGUUGUGAGCAUGUGCAUCUUGUGGAGGAGAAUGCCAAGUUGAAGGAACAACUCGAGAAAGGUCUUGUGUCAUGCAUACAAGGCGAGAAAAACCUAAAUGACCUUUUGAACAAUCAAAAGGAAGUUGUGGGCAAGGAGGGAGUUGGGUUCUCACCCAAAUCCAAGAACAAGAAGAAGAACAAGGAGAAGAAGAGCAAGACCGAUCGACCUCCUUCGCUCACGCAAACCUUUGUGAGGGAGGGAGAAGGUGCUCCUAAGGAGAAAAAGAACAAUGGGAAGAGUGGUGAUGCCAAAGAGCGCAAAGCCAUCUCUCCCAACAAAGCCGGCGACUUUAACCCGUCUUAUGUGUUGUGCCGUGCUAGUGAUGGGCAUGUUUAUGCUAAAUUUGUUGGUUCUCCUUAUGAGUACAUUGAAUGGUCUAUUUGGGUUCCUAAGACCCUUGUUACUAACAUCAAAGGACCCAUUACUCAAUGGGUACCUAAAACCAAGCAUUGAUCUCUUGUAGGUGUUUGCUUCCGGUAGGGGAUCAUGGUUGCUCGAUAGUGGAGCAACAAAUCAUAUGACCGGGAGCAAGGACUUGGUGGUGGACGUGCACAAGAUCCCAUCUAUGCCCACCAAUGUAGAAUGGGGUGAUGCCUCACAUUCUAAGGUAUUGGGUCUUGGCAAGGUUGUCAUUUCUCAUGAUCUAACGAUCGAGAAAGUCAUGCUUGUUGAGUCCCUUGCGUUCAAUUUACUUUCCGUUCGUCAACUCGCACUCAUGGGUUUUGCCACCUUCUUUGAUAUUGAUAUCGUGGCCCUCUUGUGGAGCAAGACUCUUAAAGUAGCCUUUGUUGGGCAUGUCGAGAACGGUCUCUAUGUGGUUAACUUCUCGGAGCAACCCACUAAGACCGCGACAUGCCUAAUGGCUAAAGUUGAUGUGGGUUGGCUUUGGCAUCGCCGUUUAGCCCACGUCAAUAUGAGAUCUUUGCAAAGCCUUCUCAAGGGGGACCAUGUUCAUGGACUAACGAAUGUUAGUUUUGCCAAAGAUCGUGUUUGCAAUGCUUGUAUCGAAGGAAAGCUUCAUGAGAUGGCUCACCCUCCCACGACUAUCAUCUACUCGAAGAGACCCUUGGAGCUCCUCCACAUGGACCUCUUUGGGCCCCCAUCCUUUGAUAGUCUUGGGGGUAGAAAGUAUUGCUUGGUGAUAGUGGAUGAUUAUUCAAGAUACACUUGGGUAUACUUCUUCAAGAGGAAGAGUGAGACUCAACAAACCGUCAUCGACUUUGCAAAUGAAGCUCAACGUCAACACAAUGCAAAGAUCUUGACAAUAAGAAGUGACAACGGCACCGAGUUCAAGAACUACACCUUGGAUGAGUUUCUUAGUGAUGAAGGGAUUAAGCAUCAAUAUUCUGCACCAUAUACCCCUCAACAAAAUGGUGUUGCGGAGAGGAAGAACCGGACGUUGAUGGAUGUGGCAAGAACCAUGAUGGCGGAGUUCAAGUCUCCAUACAACUUUUGGGCCGAGGCCAUCAACACAGCUUGUCAUGCAUCCAAUCGGCUCUAUCUCCGCAAAGGCUUGAAAAAAACUCUGUAUGAGAUACUCACCGGGAACAAGCCCAAUCUCAAGUACUUCCGGGUGUUCGGGUGUAAGUGUUUCAUUCUCAAGAAAGGUGUUCGUUUGUCUAAAUUCGAGGCUAGAGCUCAUGAGGGCAUAUUUGUUGGUUAUGCUACAAACUCUCAUGCUUACCGUGUUCUCAACAAGUCCAACGGGCUCAUUGAGGAGACGUGUAACAUAGAGUUUGAUGAAAAUAACGGCUCCCAAGUGGAGCAAAGUGGUACUUGUGAUGUAGGUGAUGAAAUUCCGCCCCAAGCCAUAAGAAGAAUGGGUAUUGGUCAUAUCCUACCCAUUGAGGAACCCCUUGUGGCCGAAGGAGAAGGACAAUGCUCCACCUCGGUGGAGCCUUCACCUACUCAAGACCCACACGCUUCCGAAGAACAAAGUGAAGGCCCUCAACCUAAGGAACAAGACCAAGGGCAAGAUCAAUCACAAGAUAGUGAUGAACCUCCACAUGAUGCCCAAGGUCAAGUUCUUCCCCUCGAGCAAGUUCAAGAUCAUGAGCAAGCUCAAGAUCAAGAACAAGCUCAUGACGACGCUCAAGAUGAUCAAGUGAACCCUCCUCCUUCGACAUCCGAGGAGGAAUUGGAGCGUCGUGCCAUGAAGAUUGCUUCCAAACUCACCACCAAAGGUCAUCUCAUGGAGAAUGUGGUUGGAAGCCUAAGAAAGGGGGUAAGCACUCGUAGACAGUUAGCAAACUAUUGUGAACAUCAUGCGUUUGUCUCUUGUGUUGAACCCCAUAAGGUCUAUGAGGCACUCGAAGACUCUGAUUGGCUCAAUGCCAUGCAUGAAUAACUCAACAACUUUGAGUACAACAAGGUGUGGAGAUUGGUGCCGAGGCCUUCCGGGAACCAUAACAUCAUUGGAACCAAGUGGAUCUUCAAGAACAAGCAAGAUGCUCAUGGAAACAUCAUUCGCAACAAGGCAAGAUUGGUAGCACAAGGCUACUCCCAAGUCGAGGGUAUCGACUACGGUGAAACCUUUGCUCCCGUUGCUCGUCUUGAAUCCAUUCGUUUGUUGAUUGCUUAUGCUUCCCAUCACAACUUUAAGUAGCAACAAAUGGAUGUUAAAAGUGCUUUUCUUAAUGGUCCUAUUAAUGAGUUGGUCUAUGUCAAGCAACCCCUCGGGUUCGAGGAUCCCUUCUUCCCGGAUCAUGUGUAUCAACUCGAUAAGGCACUCUAUGGCCUUAAACAAGCCCCACGUGCGUGGUAUGACCACCUUACCGAGUUGUUACAAGAUCGUGGAUUUGAAGUGGGGCUAAUCGAUCCCACUCUUUUUACUAAGAAGGUCAAAGGGGAGUUGUUUGUAUGCCAACUAUAUGUUGAUGACAUUAUCUUUGGUUCCCCUAACAAAGCUUUCAAUGAAGAAUUUGCCGCUCUCAUGACCUCUAAGUUGAAGAUGUCUUCGAUGGGAGAGUUGAAGUUCUUCCUUGGUUUUGAUAUCAAACAAAGAAGAGAAGGUACCUUCAUCAACCAAGCCAAAUACAGUCAAGACAUGCUCAAGAGAUUCAAGUUAAGUGAUGUCAAGCCGGCUUCUACUCCAAUGCCCACCAAGUGCCAACUUGACAUUGAUCCCAAUGGUAAAGCGGUGGAUCAAAAGGUAUAUCGCUCCAUGAUUGGCUCCUUGCUUUACCUUUGUGCAUCUAGACCAGAUAUCAUGUUGAGUGUGGUGAUGUGUGCACGGUUUCAAGCUGCACCGAAGGAAAGUCACUAUGUGGCGGUCAAGCGAAUCUUUCGAUAUUUGGCUCAUACCCCAAACUUUGGCUUAUGGUACCCAAGAGGGGCAAACUUCAAGCUUGAGGGGUUUACGGAUUCCGAUUGGGCGGGAGACAAAGUGGAUAGGAAGUCCACUUCCGGAGGGUGCCAGUUUCUUGGGUGCUCUUUGGUGAGUUGGUCUUCCAAAAAGCAAAGUUGUGUGUCUCUCUCGUCCACCGAAGCAGAAUAUGUGGCGGUCGGUAGUUGUUGUGCACAACUCUUGUGGAUGAGGCAAACUUUAAAGGAAUACAGUGUCAUUUGUGACAAAGUGCCUCUUUGGUGUGACAACGAAAGUGCCAUCAAGAUUUCUCUCAACCCGGUGCAACACUUCAAGACGAAGCACAUUGAGAUUCGGUAUCACUUCAUCCGGGAUCACAUUAGGCGAGGAGAGAUCAAGCUCAAGUAUGUCAACACUCAUGAUAACCUUGCAGAUAUUUUCACGAAGCCCUUGGAUGAAGCAAGAUUUCGCGAGUUAAGGCAUGAGCUAAAUAUCAUUGAUUCGAGCAAUGUGACUUGAACCCUUGCACACCCCACCCCACUCAACUUGGUAUCUAGCUUAGAUGUAGGCAUGGACAUAGGGGGAGUGUUGUUCCCUCAAUGAACUUUCCCUCCCCCCAUUAUGCAUAAAACAAUCAACUCUUUCACAAUAGCCAUUUUUGAUGGUACUUGUGCUUCAAAGUCGAGUUUUGGUCAUGGGCCCAAGGAUAAUUCUUCGCGGUGCCAUACCAAUUGACUCAAAUUUAGGUGGCUCCGGCCACCGCCCUCUCCUAAGAGAGGCCAGAGCUUGCUCUGUUUCGUGUGGUUGGUUGUGUUUGAGUUGUUUCUGGUCUGUUGUGUGUGUGUGUGUGUUCCCACGUCGGUCCUCUCGUUCUUUUGGCUUUGCUUUCCGUUUCUUUUUGAGCGUUAGCCGUUGGUCUAGAAGUAGCGUGGUUGUUGAAGCGGUACUACCGCUGGUGGCGAGUGGUACUACCGCUCUUAGCGGUACUACCGCCCUCCAGAGCGGUACUACCGCUCCCAGCGGUACUACCGCCCUCCAGAGCGGUACUACUGCUGUGAGGCGCGGGCUGGGGGUUAUAUCGGGGGCAGGGGGAGUUUCUUCUCCCCCAUACCCAUUCGCUCACCCGCUUCGCCCUGUUCGUCUCUCUCUUCAGCAACCGGCGCCGCGGGAGGGCUCCGGCGGAUCUCCCUCUCCGGGGCGCUCCUCUCCGUUUCCUUCGGUGGAAUCGAUCCCCACCUUGUCCUCUUGCCAUGGAUGCCGGUAUUGCCCCCGUUCCCUGUUUCCUUUUGUCUAGAUUUCCAAUCUAUCAUUCUAGGGGCAAUAGCAGUUGCAUCUCUAGAUUUUUGUCCAGAUCUAGGCUUGAGUAGGAUGGAGAUUGCUUCUAGACUAUUUGGAUUAGUGUUUGGUUGGAGUAUUUUUGAAUUUGGUAGGCGGUAGUACCGGAUCUGACCAUGGUAGUAGGAAACUGCUGUUUCCCCGCCUCGAGCGGUACUACCGCUCUCCCAGAGCGGUACUACCGCUUGGAGCGGUACUACCGCUCAAGGGUCACGGUACUACCGCCUUCUACCCAGUUCCAUCAUCCUCCUACCUCUCAGUGAUCUUUUUUGUUCGUGUUUGUGGCUUACGCUCGUUCUUUCUGGUUGUUUGCGUGUUUGUGUGUGUGGUUCCAGGUGAUGAGGUUCCUGAGCAUCAGGCUCGUCGUGUCAACCCCGGUCGUGCCUCGUCCAAGCGCUACCGCACCACUGAGCCCAUUGAGCCUGCCGGAGGAUCUUCUAGUGCUCCACCUCCUCCCCAACUGCAGAAGAAGCCUAGGGUCAAGCCAAAGCCAAGCAAAACCGUGCUAUAAAUGCCGCCCAAGGAGUUCUAGGCAAGGCGCCGCCGCAACCCGUAUGAGGUCGACCAAGAUCCCACUUUGGUCAACCGUCCGUUCUGGAACAGGUUCCAGUUUGCCAUCUAUUUUGAUGUUCUCAAAGCCAAGAAGAAUCUCUAUGUCAACGUGCACUCCAUCGACACUGAGCAUAUGGAGAAUGAUCCUGACUACUUUGGUGAAGCUCUUCAGAUGUGCUCUCAGCUGAACAUUCUCGGGAUCAUGCAAUUCAACAAGGACUAUGAUGCUGAUAUUGUGGCCCAAUUCUAUGCCACGGUUCACCUUGGGACCGAUGAGGACAGGACUCUGACUUGGAUGACAAAUGGCAAGUUGCUGUCAGUCAACUGGAAAGCUUUCAUGCAGUUGAUUGGGGUGGAAGAUCUUGGACUUGAGUCUUCUGUCGGCUUUCGCCCCCACCGUCGCGCCAAUGCCACUCACAAGCAAGCUCUGUGGCCCUACUGCACUCUGAGGAUCAACCAUGAGACGAAGAAGGAGACCUAUGAGCUGCCUGUCUAUCUGGACAUUCUUCACCGUAUCUUAAGAGAGACUCUUUUCCCUCGCAUCGGGAAUCUGGACCAGGUUCACUCUUAUCUCGUGGACAUGCUUCUCUUCUGUCAGCGGGAGAAGGGGCAGAGCACCAGAGAGUCCCUGGAUAUCUCUCAUGUUAUGUGGUCUGAGCUGGUUUCUGCUAUCUCCGAGCGCAAGUGCCCGAUUUAUGGUCCGUUCAUUAUGCUGCUCAUUGAGAAGGCCUGGGAUCGUGUCUAUCCCAAGGUGGUGCUGGAGAUUGGAGAGUUGGUUUCUCACGAUGUCAAGCGUCUGAGGAAGAAGGAUAACUGGGGCACUCAGGCCCCUAGGACUGGAUUUCCUUCAUCUGCUGGUGCCAUGGAGACUGAGGAGGAGUUUGGGGCUGAGGAUGAGGAUGAAGAUGAUGACUACGUGCCUUCUGAGGCGGAGCCCUCUUGGGCCAAGAAGCUCAAGAUCAAGGUGAAGAAGUUGUUUUGCAUGGAGUCUCACGGUCAGUACAUGACUCAUGUGGCUGAGAAGAAGGCCCGAGGUCGCCACAAGGAGUUCAUGCAUCAGAUGGGUUCUAUUGUGAUUAGUGGUUCUGAGGAUCAGCUUACCGAGGAGGAGGAGUGGAUUCAGCAGCACUGCCCCUGGACUGAUUCUGAUGCUGAGCACUUCCCGGCUGACGAUGGCACUGCAGAUGAUCCCUCUGAGAUCUGAUGGGUGUGCAUCGUUUGCCUUCACCUGGAGCCAUAGCAUCACUCCCUCUCCUUUUUGGUGUCUCGAUGCCAAAGGGGGAGAGAGUUUAGGGAUUUGUGUUUUGUGUCUUCUUCCGUCUUUUGUGUUUGUGCUUUCCUUGUUGCUUUAUUUGGUUUGUGUCAGUGAGACCUAAGUUUCGGUUCUGUCAGUAAGAUCUAAGCUCGAGUCAUAUGGUGUGAGACAUAUGCUACCUUAUCUUUCCGUAUCAUUAUCUAUGUCUAUCUAGCUUAUGAGUUCCAUGCUUAUCCUGUUAUAUUUAUGUUGCUCUCAUAUCUUGCUUAGGUAGUUGGUCUCUAAAAUGUAGGGGGAGCAUUGAUCCUGGCAUCUGUGUCCUGCAGUCCAAAGCACUUUUCUAGGUAGCACACAUCCAGGGGGAGCCCUUCUACAUUUUAGGACGUUUGUGCUUUUGCGCUUAUCCUAUAUCUAUCAUAUUGUGCAAAUCCCGUAUUGUCAUCAAUCCACCAAAAAGGGGGAGAUUGUAAGGGCAUAUUUAUUCCCAAUAUGUUUUGGUGAUUGAUGACAAUGCUUGUGCGGACUAAUCGUUUGCGUUUAGUUCUUUCAGAGAUUCAUCCAUUGGCACAAGACGAUUUCCUCCCCUCGGUGUUGUAAUUCAAGACGGUAUAGCUCCUUCGUUUCGUUGUUAGUGGACUAGUUUCAUAGGAGUCACCGUACUAUCAAGAGGGGAUCCAUUUUGGUAAGACUUGGGUGGAAUCUCACGUACACAUCCUUAUCACACCCGUCGUCUUUCCUUCCGCAUCUCUGGAGCUGCCGUUUUCCCCUUACUAUGCUCUGCUCUGCCCUAGCGGUAGUACCCCGUCCAUAGCGGUAGUACUGCCGAAACUCCACAGCAGUAGUACCGCUCUCAGAGCGGUAGUACCGCUCCGAGUGGUAGUACUGCUCCGAGCGGUAGUACCGCUCUCAGAGCGCUAGUACUGCUCUCAGAGCAGUAGUACCGCUUGGGUUUUUUGGCCGUAGUACCGCUGUGCGUCUGGGCUACUUCCGCCUCGAUUCUCGAACGAAUUUUUUGUGUCGGGUUUUGCGGCACUAAGGGAGGUAGUAGGGGCGGUAGUACCGCUCUAAGCGGUAGUACCGCCCUUCCCUAGCGGUAGUACCGCCCUGGUGUCAGGGCCCUGGGCAGCGCGGCAGUACCGCUGGGUCGAAGCGGUAGUACCGCCCGAAGCGGUAGUACCGCUCUUCCCUGGCGGUAGUACCGCCCUGGGGUCAGGGCCCCAGGCAGCACGGCAGUACCGCUAGGUCAAGCGGUAGUACCGCCCGGAGCGGUAGUACCGCCCUUCCCUAGCGGUAGUACCGCUCUGUGCGGGGCUGGUGAGUGGGAUAACGGUUGGAUUGUUCUUCCCACAAUAUAAAGGGGUCUUCUUCCCCAAAGUUGACCUACCUCUUUCCCCCAAAGCUCCAUUGUUGCUCCAAGCUCCAUUUUCACCCGAUCUCUCUCCCUAGCCAAUCAAACUUGUUGAUUUGCUCGGGAUUGGUUGAGAAGGCCCAGAUCUACACUUCCACCAAGAGAAAUUUGAUUCCCCCCACUUAUCCCUAGCGGAUCUUGUUACUCUUGGGUGUUGAGCACCCUAGACGGUUGAGGUCACCUCGAAGCCAUAUUCCAUUGUGGUGAAGCUUCGUGGUGUUAUUGGGAGCCUCCAAGUGUUGUGGAGAUUGCCCCAAUCUUGUUUGUAAAGGUCUGGUUGCCGCCUUCAAGGGCUCCAAUAGUGGAAUCACGGCAUCUCGCAUUGUGUGAGGGCGUGAGGAGAUUAUGGUGGCCCUAGUGGCUUCUUGGGGAGCAUUGUGCCUCCACACUGCUUUAAUGGAGACGUACUUCCUCUUAAAAGGAAGGAACUUCGAUAACACAUCCUCGUCUCCACCGGCUCCACUCUUGGUUAUCUUGUCCCUUUACUUUUGCAAGCUUACUUGAGUUAUAUCCAUUGCUUGCUUGUGUGCUUAUUGUCUUUGCAUCAUAUAGGUUGUCCACGUAGUUGCACAUCUAGACAACCUAUUUCAUUGCAAGUUUUAAUUUGUUAAAGAAAAGUCUAAAAAUUGUUAGUUGCCUAUUCACCCCCCUCUAGUCAACCAUAUCGAUCCUUUCAACGACCAUAUCAUUGAUCUUGCUUGCUCUAGCGCUAAUUCUGAUUUGGAAAAGUAGAUCCUGAUCGAACUUGCUAUAGAUUUGCGGUGCACGCAUGGAAUUGUUUGAUGCUGCUUGAGGAGGUAAUAAAUCUUUCUAGAGGCCCAAAGAUUCAUGUCACCUUUCUAGGUAUUUCAAUUUCAGGCUUGCAUUAUUUGUAGAGGCCCAAAGAUUCAGUUCACCUUUCUAGGUAUUUCAAUUUCAGGCUUGCAUUGUUUCUAGAGGCCCAAAGAUUCAGUUCACCUUUCUAGGUAUUUGAGUUUCAGGCUUGCAUUAUUUCUAGAGGCCCAAAGAUUUAGUUCACCUUUCUAGGUAUUUCAGUUUCAGGCUUGCAUUAUUUCUAGAGGCCCAAAGAUUCAGUUCACCUUUCUAGGUAUUUCAGUUUCAGGCUUGCAUUAUUUCUAGAGGCCCAAAGAUUCAGUUCACCUUUCUAGGUAUUUAAGUUUUAGGCUUGCAUUAUUUCUAGAGGCCCAAAGAUUCAGUUCACCUUUCUAGGUAUUUCAGUUUCAGGCUUGCAUUAUUUCUAGAGUCCCAAAGAUUCAGUUCACCUUUCUAGGUAUUUUAGUUACAAGCUUGCAUUAUUUCUAGAGGCCCAAAUAUUAAGUUCCCAGCCGGUGGCAAGCGGCCUUGCUACCCAUGCCGGUGUCGACCUCAACUCGCAAGGGCCGGCGUCGGAGGGGUUCCCGGGGCUUGGACUCUACAGAGCCUCCCUCCAGAGCAACGAUGGUGAGCUCCUCCCUCGGUGCGUGAGGGGCUCCGGGCUCCCUCCCUAUCGUGAACGACUUCCGUGAUGAGUUAGCUCAUUCUUUGUUUCAUGAAGUGUUUUUUAUUUUGUGAAGCUUGAUUGACGACUUGUAUGUUUAAGUGGGAUAUCUCAUUUGUAUGGACAAAGUAAAAAUUAUCAUGUUUGGCAUGCUUGAUUUGUAUAGAUGGUUCGUUUAUGUCAAUUGUGAGCGGGAGGAGGCCACAGAAGAGCCAGCCACACCAAGAGGGUGCUUGGAUCCAAGGGACUUAUUUUAGACUGACUAAAAAUAGGGUCCAAAGUAGUCAAGUGAUUGAGAUAGAGCAUUUAUUGUCAAUCUAACCCUGCCAUCCAUACACCUCUUUGGUUUAGAGUUAGUUCAGGGUUAGAAUCUAACUCUAACCUCUAACUGAUUUAGAGUUCUCCUCGUCUCGGUUCAUUGCCAUCAUACUUUCCCCAUUCCUGUGUUUUCAGUAUCUUGUGAAUCAUAGAGGCCCUUUUUUUAUCCGGGAAAAAUCAAAGAGGCCCUUAGAGUGGUUUAGGUCCGGUCAUUUUUUAUAAACGUGCUCCGGUUUCCACGAAAAUAAUCCGGUUUCAUGUAGUAAUUCAUUGAUUUAUUUAUUCUUCUGCGGGGGGUUUGCAUGUAAUUCGUGAGGUCUAAAAUGUAAAGUACCCCGGCAUAUGCUCCGAGUCGUGCAUGCACUACGACCCAGAUGCUCUAUGUCCCACAUGUCGGCGAAUGGGAGCACGUUGAAAUAGCCUAGGAGUACAUAUAGGAGGAUAAAUGCGUGAAAAAAUAUGUACUGUGAAGCGUAGCCGCGGUUUGAAAAGGAGACCUAAAGUGAUGACAGCUAUAGGUCGCACGCACCCAACUAGUGGUACUAGACAUACGACUAAUUUUUCCCUUAAAAAAAGAGGCACGAGUGUUCAGUACUCCUAUUCUAUAAACACGAGUCCCAUCUGACAACAGCAUCCGUGCUACAGCUAGCUCUCCUCCCUCGUUUCUCUCUUCUAAUUCUAAACUCGGCCGACGCCCGGUGGGUGGGGUGGGUUUGCUCAACUGCGGCCCCACCUCACAGUGAAAACGUUACGACUGGAAUAAAAAAUGCCAUAUACUCCCUCCGUUCAUAAAUAUAAGCCUUUUUAGAUACUAGUUCAAAUGGAAUACAGCAUACAGAUGUAUGAAGACAUACUUUAGAGUGUAGAUUCACUCAUUUUGCUCCGUAUGUAGUAGUCACUUGCUGGAAUCUUUAGAAAGACUUAUAUUUGGGAACAGAGGGAGUACUAUACUAAUAAAACAUUAAGGCCAUGAGGCGAUGCAGUGUUGGUUACAGGAGGCAAGAAGAAGAGAUGCAUCCAUCAACGACGUCCACCUCCUCGACUCAGGGCACCGGCCCACCGAACGGCGCCUAAGUAGCAGCGGCUUUCGUGGCCAGGUCGACGUGCUUCUGAACAAUGGCGUCCAAAGAUUCCAGCCGCUGGAAGAAGGUCAACGUCUUUCUGUCCUCGCUUGCCUUGUAGUGGUGUAUGUAGACGAUUUCCUCGUAGACAUGGAUGUGCAGGUCGACGGUUACUUGCAUGGCGAGGCGCUGCACGGCGAGCACGGCCUCGAGGUGCACAUUCUUCGUCGCGACCUCCGGCACCUACAGGGCCACCAGGGCUUGAAAGAGUUCGUCACCAUGUAGGCCGAUGAGGGUGGCAGGCAAUGAGGAGCCUGGGCGCGCGGGCUGGAGCAGUACGGCAAGGUCGUCCGCGCGCUUCUUGUGAAGGAAAUAUGCCCUAGAGGCAAUAAUAAAGUUAUUAUUUAUUUCCUCGUAUCAUGAUAAAUGUUUAUUAUUCAUGCUAGAAUUGUAUUAACCGGAAACAUGAUACAUGUGUGAAUACAUAGACAAACAUAUAGUCACUAGUAUGCCUCUACUUGACUAGCUCAUUAAUCAAAUAUGGUUAUGUUUCCUAACCAUAGACAUGUGUUGUCAUUUGAUUAAUGGGAUCACAUCAUUAGGAGAAUGAUGUGAUUGACAUGACCCAUUCCGUUAGCCUAGCACUUGAUCGUUUAGUAUAUUGCUAUUGCUUUCUUCAUGACUUAUACAUGUUCCUAUAACUAUGAGAUUAUGCAACUCCCGUUUACCGGAGGAACACUUUGGGUACUACCAAAUGUCACAACGUAACUGGGUGAUUAUAAAGGAGUACUACAGGUGUCUCCGAAGGUACAUGUUGAGUUGGCGUAUUUCGAGAUUAGGUUUUGUCACUCCGAUUGUCGGAGAGGUAUCUCUGGGCCCUCUCGGUAAUGCACAUCACUAUAAGCCUUGCAAGCAAUGUGACCAAUGAUUUGGUUAUGGGAUGAUGCAUUACGUAACGAGUAAAGAGACUUGCCAGUAACAAGAUUGAACUAGGUAUUGGAUACCGACGAUCAAAUCUCGGGCAAGUAACAUACCGAUGACAAAGGGAACAACGUAUGUUGUUAUGCGGUUUGACCGAUAAAGAUCUUCGUAGAAUAUGUAGGAACCAAUAUGGGCAUCCAGGUUCCGCUAUUGGUUAUUGACCGAGAAUAGUUCUAGGUGAUGUCUACAUAGUUCUCGAACCCGUAGGGUCCGCACGCUUAACGUUACGAUGACAGUUUUAUUAUGAGUUUAUAAGUUUUGAUGUACCAAAGUUUGUUCGGAGUCCCGGAUGUGAUCACGGACAUGACGAGGAGUCUCGAAAUGGUCGAGACAUAAAGAUUGAUAUAUUGGACGACUAUAUUCGGACACCGGAAGUGUUCCGGACGUUGUCGGAGAAAACCGGAGUGCCGGAGGGUUACCGGAACCCCCCGGGGAGAGAUAAUGGGCCACAUGGGCCUUGGUGGAAAGAGAGAGGGGCGGCCAGGGUGGGCCGCGCGCACCCUCUCCCUCUGGUCCGAAUUGGACUAGGAGGGGGGGCCUCUUUCCUUCCCCCCUCUUCCCCUUCCUUCCCCCUCCUAGUAGGAGUAGGAAAGGGGGAGUCCUACUCCUACUAAGAGGAGGACUCCUCCUCCUUGGCGCGCCCACAAGGGCCAGCCUCCCUCCCCCUCCCUCCUUUAUAUACGGGGGCAGGGGGCACCCCAGGACACACAAGUUGAUCUACGGAUCGUUCCUUAGCCGUGUGUGGUGCCCCCCUCCACCAUAUUCCACCUCGGUCAUAUUGUCGCGGAGUUUAGGCGAAGCCCUGCGCCGGUACAACAUCAUCAUCGUCACCACGCCGUCGUGCUGAUGGAACUCAUCCCCGAAGCUUUGCUGGAUCGGAGCCCGGGGAUCGUCAUCGAGCUGAACAUGUGCUGAACUCGGAGGUGCUGUACAUUCGGUGCUUGGAUCGGUCGGAUCGUGAAGACGUACGACUACAUCAACCGCGUUGUCAUAACGCUUCCGCUUACGGUCUACGAGGGUACAUGGACAACACUCUCCCCUCUCGUUGCUAUGUCAUCACCAUGAUCUUGCGUGUACAUAGGAAAUUUUUUGAAAUUACUACGUUCCCCAACAGUGGCAUCCGAGCCUGGUUUUAUGCAUAGAUGUCAUAUGCACGAGUAGAACACAAGUGAGUUGUGGGCGACACAAGUCAUACUGCUUACCAGCAUGUCAUACUUUGGUUCAGCGGUAUUGUGAGAUGAAGCGGCCCGGACCGACAUUACACGUACGCUUACGCGAGACUGGUUUCACCGUUACGAGCACUCGUGCUUAAAGGUGACUGGCGGGUGUCUGUCUCUCUCACUUUAGCUGAAUCGAGUGUGGCUAUGCCCGGUCCUUGCGAAGGUUAAAACAACACUAACUUGACAAACUAUCAUUGUGGUUUUGAUGCGUAGGUAAGAACGGUUCUUGCUAAGCCCGUAGCAGCCACGUAAAACUUGCAACAACAAAGUAGAGGACGUCUAACUUGUUUUUGCAGGGCAUGUUGUGAUGUGAUAUGGUCAAGACGUGAUGCUAUAUUUUAUUGUAUGAGAUGAUCAUGUUUUGUAACCGAAGUUAUCGGCAACUGGCAGGAGCCAUAUGGUUGUCGCUUUAUUGUAUGAAAUGCAAAUGCCCUGUAAUUGCUUUACUUUAUCACUAAGCGGUAGCGAUAGUCAUAGAAGCAAUAGAUGGCGUAAACGACAACGAUGCUACAAUGAAGAUCAAGGUGUCGCGCCAGUGACGAUGGUGAUCACGACGGUGCUUCGGAGAUGGAGAUCACAAGCACAAGAUGAUGAUGGCCAUAUCAUAUCACUUAUAUUGAUUGCAUGUGAUGUUUAUCCUUUAUGCAUCUUAUCUUGCUUUGAUUGACGGUAGCAUUUUAAGAUGAUCUCUCACUAAAAUUAUCAAGAAGUGUUCUCCCUGAGUAUGCACCGUUGCCAAAGUUCGCCGUGCCCAGACACCACGUGAUGAUCGGGUGUGAUAAGCUCUACGUCCAUCUACAACGGGUGCAAGCCAGUUUUGCACACGCAGAAUACUCAGGUUAAACUUGACGAGCCUAGCAUAUGCAGAUAUGGCCUCGUAACACGGAGACCGAAAGGUCGAGCGUGAAUCAUAUAGUAGAUAUGAUCAACAUAGUGAUGUUCACCAUUGAAAACUACUCCAUCUCACGUGAUGAUCGGUUAUGGUUUAGUUGAUUUGGAUCACGUGAUCACUUAGAUGACUAGAGAGAUGUCUGUCUAAGUGGGAGUUCUUAAGUAAUAUGAUUAAUUGAACUUAAAUUUAUCAUGAACUUAGUACCUGAUAGUAUUUUGCUUAUCUAUGUUUGUUGUAGAUAGAUGGCUCGUGCUGUUGUUCCGUUGAAUUUUAAUGCGUUCCUUGAGAAAGCAAAGUUGAAAGAUGAUGGUAGCAAUUACACGGACUGGGUCCGUAACUUGAGGAUUAUCCUCAUUGCUGCACAGAAGAAUUACGUCCUGGAAGCACCGCUGGGUGCCAGGCCUGCUGCUGAUGCAACUGACGAAGUUAAGAACGUCUGGCAGAGCAAAGCUGAUGACUACUCUAUAGUUCAGUGUGCCAUACUUUACGUCUUAGAACUGGGUCUUCAACGACGUUUUGAAUGUCAUGAAGCAUAUGAGAUGUUCCAGGAGUUGAAGUUAAUAUUUCAAGCAAAUGCCCGGAUUGAGAGAUAUGAAGUCUCCAAUAAGUUCUACAGCUGUAAGAUGGAGGAGAAUAGUUCUGUUAGUGAGCAUGUACUCAAAAUGUCUGGGUAUAAUAAUCACUUGAUUCAACUGGGAGUUAAUCUUCCGGAUGAUAGCGUCAUUGACAGAAUUCUCCAAUCACUGCCACCAAGCUACAAGAGCUCUGUGAUGAACUAUAAUAUGCAAGGGAUGAACAAGACUAUUCCCGAGCUCUUCGCAAUGCUAAAAGCUGCGGAGGUAGAAAUCAAGAAGGAGCAUCAAGUGUUGAUGGUCAACAAGACCACUAGUUUCAAGAAAAAGGGCAAAGGGAAGAAGAAGGGGAACUUCAAGAAGAACAGGAAGCAAGUUGCUGCUCAAGAGAAGAAACCCAAGUCUGGACCUAAGCCUGAAACUGAGUGCUUCUACUGCAAGCAGACUGGUCAACUGGAAGCGGAACUGCCCCAAGUAUUUGGCGGAUAAGAAGGAUGGUAAAGUGAACAAAGGUAUAUGUGAUAUACAUGUUAUUGAUGUGUACCUAACUAGAGCUCGUAGUAGAACCUGGGUAUUUGAUACUGGUUCUGUUGCUAAUAUUUGCAACUCGAAACAGGGACUACGGAAUAAGCGAGCAUUGGCCAAGGACGAGGUGACGAUGCGCGUGGGAAACGGUUCCAAAGUCGAUGUGAUCGCGGUCGGCACGCUACCUCUACAUCUACCUUCGGGAUUAGUUUUAGACCUGAAUAAUUGUUAUUUGGUGCCAGCGUUGAGCAUGAACAUUAUAUCUGGAUCUUGUUUGAUGCGAGACGGUUAUUCAUUUAAAUCAGAGAAUAAUGGUUGUUCUAUUUAUAUGAGUAAUAUCUUUUAUGGUCAUGCACCCUUGAAGAGUGGUCUAUUUUUAUUAAAUCUCGAUAGUAGUGAUACACAUAUUCAUAGUGUUGAAACCAAAAGAUGCAGAGUUAAUAAUGAUAGUGCAACUUAUUUGUGGCACUGCCGUUUAGGUCAUAUCGGUGUAAAGCGCAUGAAGAAACUCCAUACUGAUGGAAUUUUGGAAUCACUUGAUUAUGAAUCACUUGGUACUUGCGAACCGUGCCUCAUGGGCAAGAUGACUAAAACACCGUUCUCCGGUACUAUGGAGAGAGCAACAAAUUUGUUGGAAAUCAUACAUACAGAUGUAUGCGGUCCGAUGAAUGUUGAAGCUCAUGGUGGAUAUCGUUAUUUUCUCACCUUCAUAGAUGAUUUAAGCAGAUAUGGGUAUAUCUACUUAAUGAAACACAAGUCUGAAACAUUUGAAAAGUUCAAAGAAUUUCAGAGUGAAGUGGAAAAACAUCGUAACAAGAAAAUAAAAUUCCUACGAUCUGAUCGUGGAGGAGGAUAUUUGAGUUACGAGUUUGGUUUACAUUUGAAACAAUGCGGAAUAGUUUCGCAGCUCACGCCACCCGGAACACCACAACGAAAUGGUGUGUCCGAACGUCGUAAUCGUACUUUACUAGAUAUGGUGCGAUCUAUGAUGUCUCUUACUGAUUUACCGCUAUCGUUCUGGGGUUAUGAUUUAGAGACGGCCGCAUUCACGUUAAAUAGGGCACCAUCAAAAUCCGUUGAGACGACGCCUUAUGAACUGUGGUUUGGCAAGAAACCAAAGUUGUCGUUUCUUAAAGUUUGGGGCUGCGAUGCUUAUGUGAAGAAACUUCAACCAGAUAAGCUCGAACCUAAAUCGGAGAAAUGUGUCUUCAUAGGAUACCCAAAAGAAACAGUUGGGUAUACCUUCUAUCACAGAUCCGAAGGCAAGACAUUCAUUGCUAAGAAUGGAUCCUUUCUAGAGAAGGAGUUUCUCUCGAAAGAAGUGAGUGGGAGGAAAGUAGAACUUGAUGAGGUAACUGUACCUGCUCCCUUAUUGGAAAGUAGUUCAUCACAUGAAUCGGUUCCUAUGACACCUACACCAAUUAGUGAGGAAGCUAAUGAUAUUGAUCAUGAAACUUCAGAUCAAGUUUCUACUGAACUUCGAAGGUCUACCAGAGUAAGAUUCGCACCAGAGUGGUACAGUAAUCCUAUUCUGGAAAUCAUGUUACUUGACCAUGACGAACCUACGAACUAUGAGGAAGCGAUGAUGAGCCCAGAUUCCGCAAAAUGGCUAGAGGCCAUGAAAUCUGAGAUGGGAUCCAUGUAUGAGAACAAAGUAUGGACUUUGGUUGACUUGCCCGAUGAUUGGCAGGCCAUUGAGAACAAAUGGAUCUUUAAGAAGAAGACUGACGCUGAUGGUAAUGUAACUGUCUAUAAAGCUCGACUUGUCGCAAAAGGUUUUCGACAAGUUCAAGGGGUUGACUAUGAUGAGACUUUCUCACCCGUAGCGAUGCUUAAGUCUGUCUGAAUCAUGUUAGCCAUUGCUGCAUUUCAUGAUUAUGAAAUCUGGCAAAUGGAUGUCAAAACUGCAUUCUUGAAUGGAUUUCUGGAAGAAGAGUUGUAUAUGAUGCAGCCAGAAGGUUUUGUUGAUCCAAAAGGUGCUAACAAAGUAUGCAAGCUCUAGCGAUCCAUUUAUGGACUGGUGCAAGCAUCUCGGAGUUGGAAUAAACGCUUUGAUAGUGUGAUCAAAGCAUAUGGUUUUAUACAGACUUUUGGAGAAGCCUGUAUUUACAAGAAAGUGAGUGGGAGCUCUGUAGCAUUUCUGAUAUUAUAUGUAGAUGACAUAUUAUUAAUUGGAAAUGAUAUAGAAUUUCUGGAUAGCAUAAAGGGAUACUUGAAUAAAAGUUUUUCAAUGAAAGAUCUAGGUGAAGCUGCUUACAUAUUGGGCAUCAAGAUCUAUAGAGAUAGAUCGAGACGCUUAAUAGGACUUUCACAAAGCACAUACCUUGAUAAAAUUUUGAAAAAGUUCAAAAUGGAUCAGGCAAAGAAAGGGUUCUUGCCCGUGCUUCAAGGUGUGAAGUUGAGUCAAACUCAAUGCCCGACCACAGCAGAAGAUAGAGAGAAAAUGAAAGAUGUUCCCAAUGUUUCAGCCAUAGGCUCUAUCAUGUAUGCAAUGCUGUGUACCAGACCUGACGUAUGCUUAGCAAUAAGUUUGGCAGGGAGGUACCAAAGUAAUCCAGGAGUGGAUCACUGGACAGCGGCCAAGAACAUCCUGAAAUACCUGAAAAGGACUAAGGAUAUGUUUCUCGUAUAUGGAGGUGACAAAGAGCUAGUCGUAAAUGGUUACGUCGAUGCAAGCUUUGACACUGAUCCGGACGAUUCUAAAUCGCAAACCGGAUACGUGUUUUUAUUAAACGGUGGAGCUGUAAGUUGGUGCAGUUCUAAACAAAGCGUCGUGGCGGGAUCUACAUGUGAAGCUGAGUACAUAGCUACUUCGGAAGCAGCAAAUGAAGGAGUCUGGAUGAAGGAGUUCAUUACUGAUCUAGGUGUAAUACCUAGUGCAUCGGGACCAAUGAAGAUCUUCUGUGACAAUACUGGUGCAAUUGCUUUGGCAAAGGAAUCCAGAUUUCACAAGAGGACCAAGCACAUUAAGAGACGCUUCAAUUCCAUCCGGGACCAUGUCCAAGUGGGAGACAUAGAAAUUUGCAAGAUACAUACGGAUCUGAAUGUUGCAGACCCAUUGACUAAGCCUCUCUCACGAGCAAAACAUGAUCAACACCAAGACUCCAUGGGUGUUAGAAUCAUUACUAUGUAAUCUAGAUUAUUGACUCUAGUGCAAGUGGGAGACUGAAGGAAAUAUGCCCUAGAGGCAAUAAUAAAGUUAUUAUUUAUUUCCUCAUAUCAUGAUAAAUGUUUAUUAUUCAUGCUAGAAUUGUAUUAACCGGAAACAUGAUACAUGUGUGAAUACAUAGACAAACAUAUAGUCACUAGUAUGCCUCUACUUGACUAGCUCAUUAAUCAAAGAUGGUUAUGUUUCCUAACCAUAGACAUGUGUUGUCAUUUGAUUAAUGGGAUCACAUCACUAGGAGAAUGAUGUGAUUGACAUGACCCAUUCCGUUAGCCUAGCACUUGAUCGUUUAGUAUAUUGCUAUUGCUUUCUUCAUGACUUAUACAUGUUCCUGUAACUAUGAGAUUAUGCAACUCCCGUUUACCGGAGGAACACUUUGGGUACUACCAAAUGUCACAACGUAACUGGGUGAUUAUAAAGGAGUACUACAGGUGUCUCCGAAGGUACAUGUUGAGUUGGUGUAUUUCGAGAUUAGGUUUUGUCACUCCGAUUGUCGGAGAGGUAUCUCUGGGCCCUCUCGGUAAUGCACAUCACUAUAAGCCUUGCAAGCAAUGUGAUCAAUGAGUUGGUUAUGGGAUGAUGCAUUAUGUAACGAGUAAAGAGACUUGCCGGUAAUGAGAUUGAACUAGGUAUUGGAUACCGACGAUCAAAUCUCGGGCAAGUAACAUACCGAUGACAAAGGGAACAACGUAUGUUGUUAUGCGGUUUGACCGAUAAAGAUCUUCGUAGAAUAUGUAGGAACCAAUAUGGGCAUCCAGGUUCCGUUAUUGGUUAUUGACCGAGAAUAGUUCUAGGUCAUGUCUACAUAGUUCUCGAACCCGUAGGGUCCGCACGCUUAACGUUAUGAUGAUAGUUUUAUUAUGAGUUUAUAAGUUUUGAUGUACCGAAGUUUGUUCGGAGUCCCGGAUGUGAUCACGGACAUGACGAGGAGUCUCGAAAUGGUCGAGACAUAAAGAUUGAUAUAUUGGACGACUAUAUUCGGACACCGGAAGUGUUCCGGACGUUGUCGGAGAAAACCGGAGUGCCGGAGGGUUACCGGAACCCCCCGGGGAGAGAUAAUGGGCCACAUGGGCCUUGGUGGAAAGAGAGAGGGGCGGCUAGGGUGGGCCGCACGCCCCCUCUCCCUCUGGUCCGAAUUGGACUAGGAGGGGGGGGCCUCUUUCCUUCCCCCCUCUUCCCCUUCCUUCCCCCUCCUAGUAGGAGUAGGAAAGGGGGAGUCCUACUCCUACUAGGAGGAGGACUCCUCCUUGGCGCACCCACAAGGGCCGGCUGGCCUCCCCCCUCCCUCCUUUAUAUACGGGGCAGGGGGCACCCCAGGACACACAAGUUGAUCUACGGAUCGUUCCUUAGCCGUGUGCGGUGCCCCCCUCCACCAUAUUCCACCUCGAUCAUAUUGUCGCGGAGUUUAGGCGAAGCCCUGCGCCGGUACAACAUCAUCAUCGUCACCACGCCAUCGUGCUGACGGAACUCAUCCCCGAAGCUUUGCUGGAUCGGAGCCCGGGGAUCAUCAUCGAGCUGAACGUGUGCUGAACUCGGAGGUGCCGUACGUUCGGUGCUUGGAUCGGUCGGAUCGUGAAGACGUACGACUACAUCAACCGUGUUGUCAUAACGCUUCCGCUUACGGUCUACGAGGGUACGUGGACAACACUCUCCCCUCUCGUUGCUAUGUCAUCACCAUGAUCUUGCGUGUACGUAGGAAUUUUUUUGAAAUUACUACGUUCCCCAACAUCUUGACGGCGGUCAACUUGCGGAUGGAGUUGACCAUCAUGUCGUCCAUGCGAGAGGCGAAGCCGGCGUCGGCGAAGGCUACGAUGCCUGCGGUCGCCAGCACCAUCUGGAAACACUGCGCGGUGCGGGGCCGCAGGCCGGCGCCUUGGAUGAUUUGGCACAGCCGACUGCCGCUCGCGUCCAUCGCCUCCAUAGGUGCUUGUGGCUUUUGGUCACUUGGUCUUGGAUUGGAGUGAGCAGUGUUGCGCAGAGACUUGGGAGUAGAAGGAUUGGAGUGGUGGGGCGCCUUUAUUAUAUGAGAGUCCAAACUCUGUUGCAUUCACAUCGUGCUGGCUCUAGUCUGCUUCUCCAAUUAAUUCCCUCUGCAUUUAAUUGAGGAUGCAUCAUUGACCGUUCAACGUCUCAGGAACUGCUACCCUCUUCCUCCUUGGUAUUCUAGCACCUAUGGACCCGUCGACGACGAGGUGCCUAUGGUGACUUCGUAAAUUUCAAGAUGAUACUUAGUGUCGUGCGUGUGUGCGUUCAUAGGGGUGAGUGUAUGCGCGUGUAUAUGAGCGCUUGCGUCUGUACUGUGUCAAAAAAAACAACGUAAAUGCGUGUCAAAAAGAGACUAGUCAGUAUACUCAAUAUUGUGCACCUCAGAGAGGAAAACGAUAGAACUAGUACGUAUUUAUUUACGGGGCAGAUUCACUCAUUUUGCUCCAUAUGUACUCCAUCUCGGUGUAGUCUAGUCACUUGUUGAAAUCUCUAGAAGGGCAAAUACUCCUUUCUGGUUUACAGGGCUAUACUAGCAAGUAGUUGUACGUACUAAUACAAUAGUGGGCUCACAUAGCAAUUUUGUCUCAUGCAAGAGCCUGACUAUAUGUGUGCUCCAAUGUUCGCAACUGCAACGUUCGGUUUGCGCUUGGCUCUUCGCCUCUUCGAGAAGAUGAACAAUGAUGUUACUACUACUGCUUCUACAGUGUCGAAUCCACUGCUGCAUGUCCGUCCACCGCGAGCGGGACGGAUAGCUUGUUGUAGAAGUACUACUAAGCAAAAGCCUGUCCUCGUUUGCGAGCAAUAACGCGCAUGGGCGAGGGAGAAGGCGUGUAGUAAAAUCAAGCUUCUCCUCGUUCUACGAGUUGACGCGGAACAUCAUAGCACUGGCCCCACAUGCUUGCCUCUAAACUUGGCUGAAAGACCCGCAGUGUACAAUAUAUUUGCUGCAACCUCUAACAUUUACCCACCACAAAUUAAAAAAUAUGUGGCCGUAGGCAUCGUUCUGAUGCAGAGGCCGGGGAGUCCCCCCUUAAAAAAACAAAUUAAAAUAUAUAUAUUCCUGUCUUGACCAGAUGAGCGUGCAAACUACAAUCACCAAGGUGACAGGUAGGGCCAUAAGACUAUUUUAAUUUAAAAAAAACUUCGAGACGGCCACAUAGCAUGGAGCCGACCCCAACGAUUUUAAGCUUACAGGCACGGUACACACUAUCUAGACUACUCUACACAUGAAACUGCCAUGCGAGCAUCCGGGCUGCGCUUGGCUCUUCGCCUCUUUGGGAAGUCGAACAAUGAUGGUGUACUACUGCACUGGAGGAGUACUACAGUACGCUUCUGACCAUCUGACACCGAUUGAACUGCUGCAUGUCCACCGCGUGCGGGAGGGAGAGCAUGUAGAGAAAGCUUCUCCUAGUCUUGCCGGCCACCACGCUCAUGGGCGAGGGAGGGACGCUCCAGUCUUUGCGUGUAUGACAGGUGGGCCCGACAGGUGUGUGGCCAACCUGUCAUACAGCCAAAGGCAGGUGCAGUUAAGUCCGCAAGGGAGAGGAUAAUCAAACUUCUCGUUGAUGUACGAGUUGACGCGACGCAUCAAAGCACUGCACUCGAUAUAUUUCAAUAAUUUAGGGUUACCGAUGCAUUAAUUACAACGCAUGCAUGCAUCCCGUGACUCUCCUUUUGAUACUUGCAUGUGUUGAUUUAAUGCACCUUGAAGUAGUACCCCCUCCGAUUCCUUUUACUUUGCGUAUAACUUUUUCUUGUUUUUCUCAGAUUAGUCUUCGCGUCCGUGUUGGUUUCCAUCUAUGCCCCCGCUCGAUUAGUUCUGCCCCCAUUAAUCGCGCCAGUUUCCAAAGCAGAAAAUGGCUACAGGCAAACGCGUGCAGCACCGGAUGUGGCUUGACCACCUGGGGAAGCCAACUCAAGCGAAAAGGAAGGAGGACCAUCCAACCAUUGCAUGCGCAUUUACUAUCGAUAUUUAUGCAGCUUACUCAUGCGCAGGGGCAAAUUUGUCCAGAAAACUCAAACUACUGCCUUCCUUGGUAUGCGGGAGGACAGUUAUGCGCAGAGUAUAAAAUAUGUGACGGUAAAGCUUUGUAAUGCCCUGACCCAAGCGAGAGAUGGUUGUGCACGAGGAGGGCGAGAUCAUGUAGACGGAACAUGAACCGACAAGGGAGCUCACUAAGGUCUCGAUGGACCUCACCGUGCUCCACUGCCCCUUGUGCCUCCGCCCCUUGACGCCUCCAGUGUAUGAGGUUCGAAUACACCUCGUCCAUUCGGCUGAUUGAGCAAGGUGCAGGUUUCUUGAUUGAUGUGCUAUUUGAUUGAUUUCUGCAGUGCAAGGCAGGGCACCUGGCCUACGCGGACUGCCGCGUCGAGUGCCCCGGGAACCAGCGGCAGUGCCAGAAGUGUGAGCGCGGCGGUGUCUUCGACGUGCGGAACACGGCGGUGGACGCCGUCGUUUCGUCCUUGAGGGUGGAGUGCCCGCACGAAGGCUAUGGGCUCUACGUCACUUACCACAAGCUCAGCGAUCACCAGAGCGUGUGUCUGCUCGCGCCCUGCAAAUGCCCCGUGCCCGUCUGCGGCUAUGAAGGCCCGCCGCCGGCGCUCUACCACCACAUCAGCAACGCGCAUCCCAUGCCCGUGCACAGGAUCCAGUACGACAAGGUGCUCCAGCUACAAGUGCCACUGUUGGAGCCACGGCUCUUGCUGUUCGCGGAGGAGGACCGCUGCAUGUUUUUCUUGGUCGGUGGCGUGCUCGACAUCAGCACGCCUAUCGCCGUGUCGGUCGUCUGCAUCAGAGCGGGGGCGUCCCUACUGCCACACUACCGGGCUAAGCUGUGGGCGAACGACCUGCCGGGGGAGCCCAAAGGCACGACCAACACCGUCGGGGUGGAAAUGAAGGUGACAAGCGGCAAGAAUCCCGACGACGUCGACGUGUAGGAGCUGACCUUCUUGAUAGUUCCGCCCAAGCUGCUGGCCGGGGCUAAGCUUGUGUCCCUCCACAUUCAGAUUGACAAGCUCACGUCCUAAAUGUUUUGAUAGUGCCUUCUGUUUAUCUUAGUAAUAUGCUAAGAUAGGGAUUACCUUGGUCUACUUUAGCUUAAGAAAUGGUGGGUUUUGGUGGCGAUGCAGCAAUUACUUCGACAUCAGAUCAGUAAUUUCCAACAGUCUCUGUUGGAUAUAAAGUUCCUUUGGGUAAGAAGUACUACUUGUCAUCAAAAUGGAUAAAAGGAUAUGUAUGUAGACGUAUUUUAGUUCUAGAUACGUCCCUUUUUAUCCAUUUUAAUGACAAGCACUCCCUCCGUUCCACAAUACAUGCCUUCCAUUUGUCAAAAUAUAGAUGUAUCUAGACAUGUUUUAGUAUUUAGGUACAUCCAUGAUAGAGCCAAUCGGAUGGUUGAGAACACUACAAUUCAUAGCUACAGAUGCGUGUGUGACUCCCAGAUGCAGAGGCCGGGGGUCAUCAUCCUCCUUUUCGAGAAAAAACAGACGCGUGUGUGAGAGUACGAGUACGUGCGUGCACCUCUUCUCUUCCUGUAUAACAUACUACUAAACUCAGAGUACAAGUUUUUGUGGGUGGCACGAUGGUGCGUGCGAGAAGUCCCGAGAGAUAGGUUUAAUGCGUCUGAAAAAAGGACUAGCCUAGAGCUCGCCACGCGGGUAUUUAUAAAUUUUGAGCUUGCGUCUCGUCACAUUCCAAAUUACUCCAUGCUAUAUUGCAGACCUGUUCACACCGAUCACAACCUAAAUGGUUUCCCACUUAGGAGUGUAUUAGUACCACGCUAUAUUGAAUUCCAAACCUGUUCACAGCCAUCACAACCUAAACGGUUUCCCACUUAGGAGCGUAUUAGUACUCGGUUAUAAAUACUAGUAUGCGAAGAUGACUGCACAUUCCUCCUCAACUCCUCAUCCACAAAAACAAACAAGUCAUUCAGCAUCCUUCCCUUGCGUCUGCCAUGGCCAGCGUGAGUUCUGGGUCGGGGGAUUGCCAGCAGGAAGAGGCGAGCAUGGAAGCGGAAUCACGAGAGAUGUCCCGCCUCGCUACGAGAGCAGCCAACAUGUCCCACCGCACGGAAGUAGCAGCACAGAGGUCCCGCCGCGCUGCUGAAGCAGCACGGAGGUCCCGCCGCACCGUCGAUGCAGAAGACUGGUCUGGCCACGCCGCGGAAGCAGUAGAGAUGUCCCGCCGCGCCACGAAUGUAGCAGAGAUGUCCCGCCGCGCCACGGCGGCCUGGGAAAAUUUCUCGCGGGCAGGCGACGACUAUUACAGGAGCAUGCAUGCGAUCGUCCAUAGCUAGAUGGAUCAGAUCUCCGGCUUGGCGAGGUUGCAGGACGACGUGAAAGCCUCGUUUGAAUAGGCUACCGGCGUCAUCUGGCAACUAAGGGAGGGCAAUGAGAGGCUCCGGGCCAAGCGCGACCUGUUGAGGGAGAAGAUCGUCCGAAGUGCAGACCAGCAGGCGGAGACCAGUGCCUUGUUGAAGAGGACCGACGUCAUCGUCAAGAAACUUAUGGACGAGAAUGACAUGCUCCACAACGAGCGCCAAAGGUUGGUGGAGGAAUCUGUGGAUGUUCUCAAGCAGCGUCUUGAGGACACGAAAGAGCUCAUCGCCGCUCGCCACGGAGACUAGUUCCCGCGGCCUGCAGCAACGCAUCAAGAAAGUAGAGAUCAGCGAGCCAGAUCCUUGUCUUCCUUCUUGUUUUGCCCUUGUGUAUUUCGGGCGUAGCCGCAUGUGGCUUUUUUAAUUAUCUUUCUAAUUAUGUAAGACAAUUAAUCGUCCUUAUCUUUCUGUGGAAGAUUAAUGUUGCGAGGCUGGAAUGAAGAAAACUCUUGCUGUGGUGACCCUGGCGUUGCUGUUCUUCUAGUUGUUGCUGGGCUUCCUUCAGUUUCCUGGUUUCUUUUGAUGUAAUAAUCGGUUUAGGAUGUGGAUUGUGUCGUCGGUUGUGAAAUUUUGGGUUCUAGCGCGGAUGUUUGGCCUUUGUUGGCCUCUUGGGAUGUUGCGAUUUCAAUCUGGUACUCCCUCCGUCUCAUAAUGUAAGACGUUUUUUGACACUAUACUAGUGUCAAAAAGCGUCUUAUAUUAUGGGACGGAGGGAGUAGCUUUUAUUCCUUCGUGUUAGGCUGGAGUUGUGCUGAACUUCUUGUGAAUUGUGGUGGUUUUCAGUAAUGAAAAUCGAAAGGGGCAAGCCCUUCUUUGAUCAAAAAAAUCGUCCUUAUAUAUUCAUCAGUCUUGCUAUAAGUCGCAGUAGAUGCUAUAUAGGUCCGUCGGAUCUUACAUCAAGAUCCGUGCUUUUAGAUUUUCCUUUUUCUCUCUUAAAUCUCAGUCGAGUGAGACAUAGCCACGCCAUUAAACAGAGGCUCGGGCACCAUUAAUGGAGACCUUGGGAGAGAGGUGGACGGCAGACGGAGGUCAAAGGGCUCUCCUCCCGAUAAGCACGCGUAGGGGUCUGAUCGCACGCCUCUCGUACUCAAAUAGCUAUCCCACACGGCGCCUCCUAGCUAAUAAAAAAUGGGGACGCGUGGCGGCACGUAAAUGGUACUAGUAAGUAGAACGCCCACGGUUUCAAUAAUACUUGUGUUUCCGAUUGUAACAUGACAACACUUGUUCCAAAAUGAUUUUGUUGAUUGUUAAUGUGUGCGCCUUCACAAAUCGGACUGCAAAUUUACCACAGCAUGUUGGUGCCAUGUCAUGGCACCAAGCCAAGUUUCAUUAUUUUCAUGCGUGUUUUGGAUUUACAGGAAUUAAAAAACUAAGUUUCUCAGUGUUUCCAACCCAGCCACGAUGCCCAGAAUUUUGAAUUUCAUUCCCAUUUCUUGCAUGGAACCUAGAAAUUUACCCGAGGACACACAUGUGAUUUUUCAACCAACUUUGGUGCACUGGAACAUGUGCUUGUAUUUCAAAUUUGAAUUAUGCACACAAAGGUGACACGUUCCCUCCCAGAACCACGAGCCUUCUUGGGAGAAGCUUUGAUUUGCAAGAGGCUUAUACCAAAAUUUGUUCCUAUUCGACUAAUUUUUUUUACCACGGAAUGGUACUACCAUGACAUGACACCAUGCCAAGUUUCAUGAUUUUAAAACCAAGUUUCUCAAUGUUCUCGACCGAGCCACGAUGCCCAGAUGUUUGAAUCUUAUUCUCAUUUUUUGCAUGGGAGUAGAAAUUCACCCGAGGACACAAAUGUGAUUUUUCAACCAACUUUGGUGCACGGGAGCACGUGCUUGUAGUUCAAAUUUGAAUUAUGCACAUUAAAUGACCAAAAACUCAAUUAAUGUGUAAAUAUGGCCAAACGAAGCCGGAAUAAUUCCAAAAUUUAACACGGCACUCAUGUAGUUCUAUGUUGCCUUUGUAAAUAAACUCAUGGGGGACAACAUAUAUCGUUUCGCACUCAAAGGGACAUGUUCCCUCUCAGAACCACGAGCCUUCUCGAGAGAAGCUUCGGUUUGCAAGAAGCUUAUACCAAAAUCUGUUCCUAUUCAGCCAUUUUUUACCACAACAUGGUAGUACCAUGUCAUGACAUCCAUGCCAAGUUUCAUGAUUUUCAGCCGUGUUUUGGAUUUACAAGAAUUUUAAAACCAAGUUUCUGAAUGUUCUCGACCGAGCCACGAUGCCCAGAUGUUUUAAUUUUAUUCUCAUUUCUUGCAUGGGACCUCAAAAUUCACCCGAGGACACAAAUGUGAUUUUUCAACCAACUUUGGUGCACGAGAGCAUGUGCUUGUAGUUCAAAUUUGACUUAUGCACAUUAAAUGACCAAAGGUGACACGUUCCCUCUUAGAACCACGAGCUUCCAAAUCGGCCCAAUUUUUUACCACAACAUGUUAGUGCCAUGACAUGACACCAUGCCAAGUUUCAUGAUUUCCAGCCGAGUUUUGGAUUUACAUGAAUUUAAAAUCUAAGUUUCUCGAUGUUCUUGGCAGAGUCAUGACGCCCAGACGUUUGAAUUUCAUUCUCAUUUCUUCCAUGGGACCAAGAAAUUCAACCAAGGACACACAUGUGAUUUUUCAACCCACUUUGGUGCACCGGAGCAUGUGCAUGCAAUUCAUAUUUAGAUUAUGCACAUUAAAAGUCCAAAAACUUAAUUAAUCUAUAAAAAGGCCAAAUGAACCCGAAAUAAUUUCAAAAUUUAACAUGGCACUCAUAUAGUUCUAUGUUGCCUCUGUAAAUAAAAUCAGGGGGGAGGCAGCGUAUAUCGUUUCGCACACAAAGGUGACACAUCCCCUCUCGGAACCACGCGGCUUGUUGAGAGAAUCUCCGGUUUUGCAAGAGGCUUAUACCAAAACUUGUCCCAAUUCAGCCAAAAAUUAUACGUAUGAAAACAGGGUUUAGAUUAUCCCGAACAUCUCGCUACCUAGACCAAUAAUGUACUAUGAUUUGAAUUCAACAUAAAAUGGAUACAGAUAUUUGAAUUGGAGAGCAUAUGGUACAUGUAGUUCAUAGUGAAAUAUGAUUACUGCUAUAUGCAUGUCUUUUAGUUAUCAAGAUAAUAUUUAAAUUAUUGUAUAACUUGACAACAAUCAUAUUCAAAUAAGGAAAAUUGAUUCAAAUUUAGUCCAUAUGGUAGACGACAAUAUAUAUGUUCACAUGGUGGAGUAAAAUGUUCAUAUAUGAUGGAAGAUCAAAAUGUACGACUACAUCAAUUAUAAACCGCAAGGUCACCUAAUGAUAUAUUCGAAUUCAACAUAACGUGGAUUCGAAAAUUGAAAUUCGAUAUCAUGGCAUCUGUAAUCAUAUAAAAAGGGACAUUACUCUUUCUUUGGUGGGAAUUGUUUUGUUUUUUGUUGUUGUUGAGGGAAGUGCGAAUCGAUUUGGUACUGUGCAGGGUAAUCUUGUUCUCCCGAUUUUUUUACAUUUUUCUUGUAGUUUUUUCAAUGGCAUCUAUAGCAAUAUAGUAAAAGGGGACAUGACUCUCUUGUGUCUUGUAUGAUUUUUUUACACGUUAAGUUUGUUCUGCCGAACAAGGAAUCCGCACCUUGUUAUCCCGAAAUUUUCAAGCUGAAGUAUCUUUUGUCUCACCUGCUUUGAAACUCCUGCUUCUUCAACCCGCUCCACGCCUUGUUAUCUCGAAAUUUGGACGCGCGCGAGAACUCCCUCCUCAUCCGAAAUCGCUCCCGCAGCCCAGACACGAGAAAUCCCCCUUCUACCCCUCAGCCGGAAAUGAAGCUCCAUGUCGCGGUGUCAAAACUGGUGGGGGUACGCUGGUAACUUACCCUACAUUUCGGACAAGCGCGUCCCUAAGCUUGGCUCCCCCCUCCCCCUUCGCCCCCCUUCGUACACCGAGGCCGCCAAAACCGCCAAAACCCGCGAAACCCCACGCUCCUCCAUCGGCCUCGCGACCGCCGCCCAGCCGGUGACUCUUCUAUGACUACGUCGUCCACUGCAACAGCUCGCCGUCCCUCAUCCACCGCACCGGAUGAGUAUCCGUUGUCGAUCUCAUCGUCCCACCGGAUCAGCCGCCCCGUCCUCCACCUCCAAGGAGUUGCCCCGAUGUUCGCCACCUCUAUCGCGCCACCUCAAUCCCCACAGUGCCGUCUUGACCUGCCCCACCGGAACCACAACACCCUCACCAAUUCCUCCGAUGAAGCCGAGGCCAACUCGGUGCCACCAAGGAGGUUCUGCACUCACUGCUGCAUUUUAUCUUUUAUUCGAUCUCACGGGGCUGCCAGUGCUCGAUACCGAGCAGACAUGGCGUCUCCAUCGAUGGCGUCGUCGCCGGCCACAUCAUCCACGGUGUCUCUCCCCCAUGUCGUUGCUUCCUCGGUGGCGACUUCCACAACGGCACUAGCUGCAGCUGCUCCGGCUCUCGCUCGCGCUGCGGUUCUGUUCUUGCUAACAGUCGCGCUGCUGCACUGCUCCUGCUUUCGUUCGUGCUGCUGCUCUGCUCUUGCUCUCGCUUGCGCUGCUGCUGCUGCACGACCUCCGGCAGCUACAGGAGUUGCUUCUUUAGCACUCGCUCGCGGUGCUACUGCACGACUUGCUCUCUGCUAGUGCGUUUCCUGCUCGAGCGUCUGCUGAUUUAGAUCACUGCUUCUCUGCUACUAGUGCUCGAACGCCCUAAACAUCUAUUGCAAUGCUCUGUUACUAGUUCAAUCAGUUUCGACAGUAAAAUUCAGUUUCGACUGUGAAGUUCAUUUUCUUCAGUUAAGUUCAGAGUGAACAGUACUUACAACAUCUGUCGGAGCGGCUGUGGCGCGGCUGAUGCGCUUUACAUCUAGCACUUUUUGGUGAUGUAUUUUACAUCAUCUAUUGCAGAUUAUAUUAGGGUCCCACUUUAGAUUAAAGUUGUCUAUCUUGUCAUGCUUCAGCCUCGUCGCCGUACACCUUAGCGGAGCUGCUCGAACAACGGAACCGUCCAUCACAGCGGAGCAGUACCCUCGGCGCCGUUUCCAGAGGCCUCGGAUCUUCUUCCCCGCCUCCGACAGUCACACCAGCAUCAUCACCAUCCUCCACGUCCAACCCAAUGAUGCUGAGGUCCACAAGGCUAUGCCAAAGAGGUUGUACAGUCAUCACAUCACUUUGUUUCUCCAUUCCUCUGUUCUUCCAAUUCAUGUGAGCCAAACACCCAGGUUGACUGAAAUCCUAUGUUUCCAAAUGCUCUGUUUUGCACGUGCAUUCCUAUCCUAUUCCUGUGUUUUUCCUGUCCCUGCGUUUAUAGAAUCCUCCAAUUCUAAGGAGCGCUUACAGAUUUACUUCAUUUUCAGAUUGGCGUCAAAGAAAACUAUGUGUGUUAUGUCCUGCUCCUGCCGUGCCGUCAUCCACCCCACCUGAGGUGCACCAUCGACAGAAGUGUUCACUGCAGCAGAGAUCCCCCCUGCAGACUUUCUUUCACCGCCUCAGAUCAUCUUCCCCGUUGCCGGCAGCCACGCCAACUGCAUUACCAUCAUCGACUGAGCAGAUGAACCUGAGGACUACACAGCUCCGGAAGAGAGGUCGCAGUCUUUCGUGUUUGCUUACGUUAUACAUCGGUUAUUAUUACCUGCUACAUUAUCGUUCAAUCUUGAGUUUUGAAUUGCCCAUGGGUCUCAUAUGGAGCCAGCAACAAAUAGUAUCCGUCUACUAUCUGGUUCAUCUGGGGUCUUCUAUGUGGUUCAUGUUGGGUGGGCAACAAACAAUAGAUGAUCCAUUGUCUAUCUUUUUAAACUGAAGCUAUAAUCUACCUGCUAUCAUUAGUUUUGGAUCCAUCCACUCGUUUGCUACCAUCAGUCUUGAUUUUUGCAUGCACCCCUUAGGCCUUACAAAAUCUAACUAUUUUUUUAUUAUGCAUGUCAGAUAUUGUACACAAUCGUACUGAACAUGUAGAGAAAAAGAGAAGACCGUUGCGUGCGAAUAUAAUGUCAUGCAGACGCUGCUCCAUGGUGGGUGAAGUGCCCCCCCCCCUCUCCUGCAUUUCCAGAUUGUAUUCCAGAGGAAGAUAACUGUUUAGAUGGAGAUUCAGAAGGAGCCGGCCAUGCCUGCUUACCACCUGAGGUGUUUGGUCUAACCUGGCAUGCUGAUGUUGGUCAUAUCAUGCAUAUGGCGCCUUGCAUUGCUUACAUUAUACAUCUUAUAUGUCAUCAACUUAGUUUAGAUUUGCUUUGUGUGAAUGCCACCUAUUUGGUUUCUAUAUCAUACUCCCACCAUUCCUAAAUAUUUGUCUUUUUAGAGAUUUCAACAAGUGACUACAUACGGAACAAAAUGAGUGAAUCUACACUCUAAAAUAUGUCUAUAUACAUCCGUAUGUGGUAGUCCAUUUGAAAUCUCUAAAAAGACAAAUAUUUAGGAACGGAGGGAGAAUAUGGGAAUUAUGCAAUGCCAUCUUCUUUAGCCAGGCAUCAUAUACGUGAAUCAUGCAAUGCCAUCCUGUUUAGCCAGUCAUCGUAUAUGUGAAUUGUAUCGUGCCGUAUUUUUUUCCCAUAAUGUAUUCCAUUUGUCAACAAUGUUUAUACAUUCAUCCACUCUUCCUGUGCAUCAGCCAUUUGAGUCGGUCAUGGGAAAAUCUGGAGUGAAAACAAGGUCUUCUGAGCAGUCAGUGCUACCUGUCGAUGCAGAUUUCUUGCUGGUUACAGAUAGCUCCUCAGAGGAGGAUUCAGAGAGAGAUGACCAGUCGUAUCCCCCCCCCCCCCGAGGUGCAUGCUCUAACUUGGCUGGGUUAUAUUUCUCAUAUCAUGCAUAUGGUGUCUUGCAUUGACAUGCCAUCUGCUUAGAUUAGACAUGCUUUGUGUGAAUGCCUCCUGUUUGCUUUCUAUAUCAGAUAUGUGGAUUAUGCAAUGCCAUGUUUUCCAGCCAGUUAUCAUAUAUGUGAAUUAUGCACCGCCAUGGAGCCAGACAUCAUAUAUGUGAAUUAUCUCAUGCCAUCUUUUUUUUCAUUACGUAUUCCAUUUAUCGACAAUCUGUGUAUAUUGAACUACUCUUCAUGUGUAUCAUCCAUUUGAGUCGGUUAUGGAAAAAUCUGGAGCGAAAACAAGGUCUUCAGAGCAGGCAAUGGUACCUGUUGAAGCAUAUAUCUUGAUGGUUACAGGGAGCUCCUCUGAGGAGGAUUCAGAGACAGAUGACCAGUCCUAUAUCCCACCUGAGGUGUAUGCUCUAAGUUGCAAUGUUUAUAUUUCUCAUAUGAUGCAUAUGGUGUCUUGCAUUGAUUAGUUUAGACAUCAUAUGCACAAUAUUGAAUUCUAUCUGCUUAGUUUAGAGAUCAUACAUGCGAGUGCCAGCUGCUUAGUAUAUGAAUCAAUUAUGUAAAUUAUAUCAUGCCAUCCUGUAUACUUAGACAACAUGUAUGUGAAUUAUUUCAUUACAACCUAUUUUAGAAAGACAUCAUAUAGUUUUGUCAUGUCAUCCUGUUUAGGUACUCAUCAUAUGUUGAAUUAUGCCAUUAUAUCCUAUUAACUUAUCCAUCAUAUAUCUGAAACUGUGUCAUGCUAUCCUGUUUAGUUACGCAUCAUAUAUGUAAAAUUGUGUCAUGCUGUCCUGUUUGGUUAGACAACAUAUAUGUGAAUUACCACAUCUGUCUAUCAUACAAUAUCUGUACGUUCAAUUUCUUUUCUUGUUUAUUAGCCAUUUGAAUUGGAGGGGGUGAUGGCAGUAUCUAAGGGAGCAAAAACCCGUUCUUCACAAAAGACAGUGCUACCCGUCGAUGCAGAUAGAACCAUGGUUGUACUGGCCCACAAACUAGCCCCACCACACAUAAUCAAGACUCUUCCAGAUUGCACACUUACACCGUUGGGCAGAGAACCAGCUACAACCCAUCUAACCGCAACCCCAGUGGAUAGUAACCCACUUAUAGUUGACAAUGCACCAUGUCCACCACAGAGUACCCCCACACGAGCAGUUUGUAAAGCUACUGCAGUGCCAAAAAGCAUGAAGACCACCACAGCUAACCCAAACUCCACGUUUAAAGCAGAAGAGCAACUGUUCUCAGGUCAGAUUCCGUAGCUAUGGCCCAUACUCCUUUGUUGUUGCAUCACUGUAUUUACUCAUACCAACUACUUUCGAAUUUGAAGGAUCCAAUUGAAACUCCAAUGGCGCAACAGGUGUGUUUUAAACCUAUUUCUUUAACUGGAUUGCUGUUCUAACUUCUUGCUCUAUGUUGUUUUCAGUUUAAGUUGUAUAAACAAUUAUGUUCUCAUGUGAUGCACAUUCCAAGUGCUGCCAAUGCUGUGUAGUUUCUCACACUUAUAUUAUGUCUAUGCUGUUGUGUCUUAAAAAUAUAUGAGUUGAACUGUGUCUCCAUCUUGAUUAGGGAACAUAAACUAGAAUGAUAUGGAAAAUACAGUGACCAUAGUACAUAGAUAUAUGUUUGUUUCAUGCUGUUAUCCUGUCCACCUUACUACUGAACCGGUUUACCAAAAUGAGUUUGGUAUACUACAAGCUAAACAUGUGAUGUGUCUGCUUGUUUCUCUUGUAGUAUGCAAAUAGAAUACUGGAGAAGAGCACCCCACUAUGCAAUGGUAGAGAAAGUAAUGCAGAUAAGGUUCAAGAUAGUGAGACAACCCUAUUGGUCUCCAAGAAAGGUGAUAAAAACGAUAUUGUAGAUAGUGAGAAAACCCCACAGUCCUGCAUUGAUGUAGUGUUCGAGUUACUGGCCAGUACCGCUGGCACAAGCUCUUCGAACUCGCUGCCUGAAUCACUUGGGCUUCUAAAGUCUCAGCUACAAGCUGAAAGGCAUCAGUCAGCUGUGCUGCGGCAAGAAGCCGAAGGACUGAGGAAGUCCCUUCGGAAUUCAGGUGCGUACUUUCUUGUGCAAUAGCAAGCGCUGGAGGAUUUAAGCGCCAAACAAGAGAAAGUUAAUAAGCUUGCUAAGCAUCUUGUCAGCAUUAUGGGUACCUAGGAUAUUGUUUCUUGAACUCUUCUAAAGUGGUUUCAGUUCUGGACUUGUUUUGCUGCGGCGUUUAUAUGUUGUUGUGUUCCCUAUAUUUGCACUGGUGGUGAACUUUGAUGCCCAGUGGAUGUAAUAUGUGUAAUAGCCGUGAUAGCCUAGCAUAAGUUGCUUGCUUAUUUAUUUCCUUGUUGUCUUGUUUAUUUGUUUGCUUGUAGUCAAUGCACUUCUUUUUCCGCGGUUUGCUAGUGGCUGCAAUAACCUAUUUUUUAAAACUAGGCCACAAUAACCAUGGGCUAAUAUUUACUGUAGUGACACUGGGCCUCCUACGGGCCGUAGAAACAGUAGGCCUUCUACGGGCCAUAGAAACAGUAGGCCUUCUACGGGCUGUAGAACCAUUGGGCCUUCUACGGGCCGUAGAAGCAAUGUGCCUUCUACGGGCCGUAUCAUCAAUGGGCCUUAUAUGGGCCGUAUGAUCGAUUGGCCAAACAUGGGCCAAUAACAGGCCGCAUUAUGGCCGUAAACGGGCUAGAGUUGGAAUCGUCCGUUCAUGGGCCAACCAUAAUGGGCCAUCGUUAAUAGGCCGUAUUUCAUGACGCUAUGAAAACGGCCCAACGUGUUAACGGACCACAAACGGGCCGACUGUAACCACAGGCUGAAUUUGGCCCAUAAGCAGAAAAUAACAGUAACGGGCCAUAAGUAAACGAAUGCUGAAAAUGAGCCCAAGAAUAAAUGGGCUCUAAGUAGGUCGAAAGAUAACAUGGGCUGGAAACGGCCCAAUGGAAUAACGGGCCCUUAAUGGGUAUAAAGUGAUACACUGUUCAUUACGGGCCAGUUUCACCACGGGCCGUUAAUGGGUGUAAAGUAAUACAUUGUUCAUUACGGACCAGUUUCACCACGGGCCGUUAAUAGGCCAAGAGUUACAUAGGGCCUUAUAUGGGCCGAAAGACGUCAUGGGCCAUACAUGGGCCAGAAGUGAAAACGGGCUGGAAUCAUAUUGGGUGGCCCAGAUGACGCUACUGGGCCUAAUUCAGAUAGGGCGUAAUGGGCCUGGGGUUAGCGGGUUGUAAAUGGGCUAUAUGCGAACAGGCCGUUAACAGGCUUUACAUGGGCCGGCCCGCCACCUUUUGACCAAGUCAAACGGGCCGGCCUUUUCAUAGGAAUGGGCAUCUGUUGGGCUGUGCCACAUGUCGACGUAUCAUAGGCGCCUUCUGUCCAAUGAGUGGAUGACAUCUGUCCCAACGGUGAGCCGACACGUGUUUCCUCCAGCCAAUGAUGAUUUUACACGUGGAAAAUCCCCAUUGGUCGGGGCUGUUAACGGGUUAUCGGAUCCAAAACCCGACCCGAUAGCUUAACGGCGUUCCGUUACGGUGGAUGCCAUGUGUCGGUCACCCUUGACAAAAACACUUCUGUGACGCGCGAUUUAUCGUCAUGGAAGUGGACACUUUCGUGAUGAUAAUUUUGGUAAUAUCAUGGAACACUUCUACAACAACACAUGUAUGACUAUCUUGAUUCUGUCAUAAAUUCGUCAUGGAUGUACAUGCAUGACAAAAAAUGCGACCUACUGUGACAAACACGUAUCAUCACAGAAGUGUAUUUUUUUUGUAGUGCGGUAAGAUGACUAUGAUAUUCUCAUGGUUUAAGGAACUAAAUCACGUGUUAACACUCGGUGGUAUAACAAUUGACUUCUAAUGAUAUUAACGAUAUUAUCUCCAAUUAUAACAAGCAAGUUUGGGUCGAUUCAAUAUGAUCGUUCUUCUAACGUCAUAUCCUCAAAUUUGUUUUGAGACUAUCGUUACACUUAACGAUAUCUCAAGAUUGAGAAAACGUGAUCACAAAUAAAACUUGGGCUAGUCUUAUAGGUGAGACUAGGAGUCAAAUUUAACCGUUUAUCAUUCCACACAUGAAUAUAAGUUUUCCACUGAAUCGCAUAUUCCAGGAUCAUAACAGUUAUAGCAUAGAAUAUAAACUCUUAAUUAUAAACAUGAAAUUAUAAUAAUAAAAUAUUAUUGCCUCUAGGGCAUAUUUCCAACAAUUAUAAAUUUCCGAAAAUUUAACCCUGCAAAGGUGCUUUCAACUUCCCAUUAUAAGUCCUGCAUGUAUACCCUAUUCCUCCAAGUUUAGGGCCGAUGAGAACCAACACGUAAACACGAUAAAUUCCAGGAAUUCGGGAUUAACAAGUUCCUCUAGCGAAUGCCAAAUUAAUCCAGAAGACCUCCUGGUGGAUCGACAUUUGGAUCAGAGCCGAACGUAUCUUUAGACCCGAUCCCAGAUGGAUGGGCAAAGCUUUUGAUAGCCAAACCCCUAGUUUCCCCAUGGUGGCACCGACGGCUGCUCAUUGUGGACCAACGCUUUUCUUAGGUGGUGGCCCAAGUUGUUUAUUAAGAAACCUCGGAUUCAUGACUCUCUAUGCGAGUUUUAUGUUAGCAAAAUUUAGUAUCAAUAUUGGGCCUUCUAGAAGAGUUCAAUGCUAGAUAAAGGAGUUCAAGGGGGCCAUAAUAACCCUCACAUGGUAGGAUGCGCUCAUCAAGGAACAUAUAGCCAGAACAACGGAAACUAGGGUUGACCAGAGUGGAACAAAUUACCAAGGCAUAGGCCUGAGCCUUCCACCCUUAGUCAAGUAUAUAGUCAAGUUUAACAAAUUGGCAAUAUAAUAAUGAUAUCCCAAAUAUAUCCAUGUUAUCACAUUGAAAAACCUGCACGUGCAACUAACAACGCUACACGAGGGGCUGAGCAAGUGGUAGCAUAGCUAAUCAAAAGGUUUGCUAGAUAGUGGAGGUUAGAGGUUGUAUCGUGGCAAUUUGUAGGCUUAAAGGUAGCAAGACCAAACAAUAGUAUCAAGACAUCCAGCAAGCAAAGCUACUAAUGCUAUACAAGGUAAUGCUCAUUCUUACCUGUUAUCCCGCUAUGAAGAAGAUCCUUAAGCCAAACUUCGAAAGUGUUGUCUAACGAAUUCUCCCACUCCGCAUCGUCUUCGUACUCUAUUGAUAAGAAGCAAAUCCGGAAAGAGGCACAUGAUACGGUAAACAAACAUGUCAUGCAUAAAGCAAAUCAACAACAAACAUGGCAUGGCAAAGGCAAGUCAAGCAAGUACUACACACUAAGUGAAGCUUGAUAUGCAACUCGUUGCAUAUCGACGAAAGUCCACGUGUGAUUAUUAGGUUAGAUCCUAUUUAAUAUUAAAUGUUGUUUACACAGCAAAGAGGUGAAGCAUAAGUAAACUAUCCUCUCUAGUCCAUUUAAAUGAGGUAGGAAGCAAUAUAACACCUGAAAAGGCCUCAUAUGCAAUUAAUAAGUUAAUUACUGUUCUGCACUAAACAAUAUUUUUUAGUCGUUAAACAGGAAAAACAAGUGCACCACUGCAAUCUAUGCAUUUUACUGGUCCAAUUUCGGAGUUACGUUAAUUGGUUAUGAUUUGAAUCAAUUAGCAAGUUAUUUGAACAAUUUUAAUUCAAACAAGAAGUUGUUUUUUGGGGGAAAUAUACUACUGUCAUGUACGUGGGACCAAACCCACGUACGAACUGACAUCGGUGCCAUCAUGCAUUCAUGCUACAUUCCAUGACGGAACAUCCAUUCCAGCCGUUGCGGGAUGUCUCACUACCUUCGACGUCGUCGUCCAUGGUCUCGAGUUUGGGAACACUACGAAUUAAUGUUAGGGAAUUUGCAAGUGGGGAAAGACGAUUUUGCGAUUCGAGAAAGAAAGUAGUGUAACGGCAUUUUUCGAUAGUUAAUAACUACAAAGUCCUUUCUACAAAAUAACUUGUCCCCAGACCUCGCGUGACCGUUUUGCGCUAAAAACAUGUUAGGCCAACGCCCUAUGGAAGGAUAUGGCACGCUAGUGACCAAUGUUUGUUGAAAUAUAUUACCCACCUUUCUUUAUUAGUUUGGACUUUUGAAUGAAUUGGUCGGAGCAUAAAUUCAAUGUGAAAUCAGAACCAAGAGGUCUCAAGUUCAUGAGCCUGCCAACAAGUAUGGAAAAAGAUUAUGUGGCCUAUGUUGACCCCACAUCUAAGAUAGCCAAGGUGUGAGGAGGCAUGUCGAAAUAGAUUGCCCCUCUGUUCUUCAUCAGUUCAGUCUUUCGGAUGGGUUGGCUCGAGCCCGAAAUGCAGGUUUGAGGACCUGUUUUUUUGUUUGUUUUCAUAUAAGUGUGACUAAAAUGCAUCCACAUGAAGAGUUCUAUGAGUGGCACUGCCAGUGUCGUCUUACUACUAACAUUAACUUGUCCGAAUUAUAUAUGCUGCACGUCCCCAAUAUUGCUAUGUGGUUCAUCAAGCAAAGCAAGGCUGCAGUUGCAGGAAUUGCAGGAAGCUAGGAUCUGCUCCAACUCCAAGAACGCCUAUCCUACCUUCAUCAGUGUUGCGUAACAAGCAGGCCGGUGAGGCUGGCUCGGUUUAUUCCUGUUGGAGCCAGAGCGAGAUAUAGAGAGAGAGGGCGUGCAACAGCUCUUGUAUUCAUCAUCUGGUGUUACACUGGUUUAUAUAUGUACAGCUCAACUGACUCAACCGAUGCUAGGCUAAAAACUAGGCAUGCACAGAGGACACGAACACACGUUCGCUAACACCCCGCCGCAGUCGUGUCGUCGCUGCUUGGCAAGACACAAAGACUGGACCGGAAAGCCUGGAAGACCGAUGUUGGCAAACCCUUGGUCAUGAUAUCUGCGAGCUGUUGAGUCGUUGGUACAUGUACAAUGCGAAAAUCGCCGAGGGCCACCUUCUCUCUGACAAAAUGAAUGUCCAACUCGAUGUGUUUUGUCCGCCGAUGAUGAACGGGAUUGGUGGACAUAUACACGGCCGAGAUGUUGUCACAAAAGACGAUGGUAGCCUUCGGCGGUGAGCCACCGAGCUCAUGGAGAAGUUGCCGUAGCCAUACACAAUCGGCGACGGCGUUGGCGACGGCGCGGUAUUCUGCUUCCGCGCUGGAUCGUGACACGAUGGCCUGCCACUUCGAGGACCAGCUGACAAGCGUGUCACCAAGAUAAACGCAAUAGCCAGAGGUAGAGCGGCGGGUGUCGGGGCAGCCGGCCCAGUCGGCGUCGGAGUAAGCGAUGAUCUCAGUCGACCGAGAGAUCGGAAGUAGAAGACCGUGGGUGGAGGUGCCGCGAACAUAGCGUAGAAUGCGCUUGAUGAUGGCGAGAUGACUGUCCCGUGGAUCAUGCAUGUGCAAGCACGCCUGCUGGACCGCGUACGCCAGAUCAGGGCGUGUCAUAGUGAGGUAUUGCAGCCCGCCUGCGAGGCUGCGAUACUCCGAGGGAUCGUCCACGGAGCGGCCGACGUCGGCGGCAACCUUGGGCGACGUGUCAACCGGAGUGGAAGCGGGAUGGCACUGCGACAUGCCGGCGCGACGGAGAAGGUCCUCGGCGUAUUGGGUCUGGUUGAGGAAGAACCCACGCGAGGUGCGCUGCACGCGUAUGCCGAGGAAGUAGUGGAGAGCACCCAUGUCCGUCAUCGCGAACUCGUGCUGAAGCUGAUCGACAAUGGUGCGAAGCAAGACCGCCGAUGAGGCAGCAAGGACGAUGUCGUCGACGUACAGUAGAAGAUAGGCGGUGUCGCCGCCCCGCCGUAGUAUGAAUAGCGAGGCGUCGGAGCGCGAGGCGGUGAACCCAAUGGUGGCGGCGAAGGUGGCGAAGCGAUGAAACCAAGCCCGCGGAGCCUGCUUGAGGCCGUAUAGGGACUUCGAGAGGCGGCACACAUGAUCGCGGUGAGCCUCGUCGACGAAUCCAGCAGGUUGAUAGCAGUAGACCUGUUCGUCGAGGAGGCCGUGAAGGAAGGCGUUCUUCACGUCGAGCUGGUGCACCGGCCAGCCGCGUGAGCACGCCAGAGUGAGCACGGUGCGGAUCGUCGCUGGCUUUACCACCGGAGAGAAAGUCUCGCCGAAGUCGAUGCCCGGGCGUUGUGUGAAGCCGCGGACAACCCAACGAGCUUUGUACCGUUCGAGGGAUCCGUCGGCGUUCGUUUUGUGCCUGAAAACCCACUUGCCCGUGACAAUAUUAGUGUGAGGUGGGCGAGGGACAAGGGUCCACGUGGAGUUGGCGAGGAGAGCAUCGAAUUCGGAUUGCAUGGCAGAGCGCCAGUUCGGGUCGUUGAGAGCAGCUCGAACGGACGUGGGAAUUGGAGAGAUUGUGGUGGCAUGCAGAUUGGCGUAUUUUGGGUUCGGUUGGAAUAUUCCAUGGCGUGCACGCGUGAGCAUUGGGUGUGGAACAUGCGCAGGAGGCGGCUCUGGAGAGACGUGGUGCAUGGGAGUUGGUGGGGUAGGUGGGCCAGCGGGUGUAGAGUUGGGCCCGGGCAGGGACGUGGGGAAAGGAGUGGAGUGCGGAGUGGGAGGCGGGGAUUGCAUGGGUGGGCCAGGUGGCGAUCCAGGAGGGGUCGGGGUAGGCGGUGGCCAUGCAACGUCGACGUAGUCCGCGGGAGGUGGAUCACGAGCUGAUUCGGGCGAGUCUUCAGGAGAUUUUGGCAGCGUUUUAAAUGGAAAGAUAGACUCCACGAAAGUUACGUGCCUGGAGAAUAGGAUGCGCCGGGUAAUGGGGUCGUAACAACGAUAGCCUUUUCGCUCGUCCGGGUAACCAAGAAAAAUGCAAGCCGCUGAUCGAGGGGAGAGUUUGUGUGGGGCGGUAGCAAUGAGGUUGGGAUAACAGAGGCAUCCAAAAACACGGAGAUGACGAAAAUCGGGUGGGGUCCCGAAGAGAAGUUCGUAUGGUGUGGUGAGGAGAUUGGCUUUGCAGGGACGCCGAUUUAGGAGAUAGGUGGACGUGGCAAGGGCUUCGGCCCACCAACGAGGAGGCAUGGAGGCGUGUAGGAGGAGGGUCCGGACACCGUCGUUGAGGGUACGGAGUAUCCGUUCAGCCUUGCCGUUUUGUUGGGAAGUAUGGGGACAGGUGAGGCGGAAGAGCGUGCCGUGGGAGGCAAAGAGUGAGCGAUUUGCGAGAUUGUCGAAUUCACGCCCAUUGUCGGUCUGAAAGGCGAGGAUAGGACGGGAGAAUUGUGUUUGAGCGUAGGCAUAAAACUGAACAAGGAGACUAUGAACCUCAGAUUUGCGGCGUACGGGAAAGGUCCAGACAUAGUGUGUGAAAUCAUCUAGAAUGACCAAAUAAUAUUGAUAACCAGAUACACUUGAGAUCGGACUCGUCCAUAAGUCACAAUGACAAAGUUCAAAAGGAAAAGAAGUGUGAGAGGAAGAAGAACUAAAGGGAAGUCUAGUGUGUUUGCCUAGACGACAAGCCUCGCAGUGUGUCGUCGAGGUUUUAUUACAACUGAAAUCAAAAAAAGAAGAGGCUUUGGCAAGGGCGGCGGCUCUAGGAUGGCCGAGGCGCUGGUGCCACAAGUCGGCGGUGACGGCGGCGGUGAGGCAGUGGCUUGACGGGGCGAAGGUGUAGAGGUCGCCGGAGGAGUCACAUCGGAGAAGCACCGUCUUUGUGGCCAGAUCCUUGAUAGAAAAACCAUAGGGAUCAAAUUCAAUUGAAACUAAAUUGUCACGAGUGAAAGCACGAACGGAAACUAAGUUUUUGAUGAGGGAGGGAGAGAUGAGAAUUUCAAGAAGGGAGAGAGGUCGGGAGGGGGUACAGAAGGAAGUAGAGCCGACGCCGGUAAUGGGAAGAAGAGAACCAUUGCCGACGAUGAUAGAAGAAGGAGAGGAUGGGUUGGGUAGGGAGAAGGGAAUACCAGAACCGGAGCUCAUGUGGGACGAAGCGCCGCUGUCGAGGACCCAUUCGCCGCCAGGUGCAGAGGGCGGAUGCAGCGCCAUCUGAUUGAGGGCGGCGAUGAGAGCCGCCUGAUCCCAUUGUGGGGAAGGCGACGCCACCGUUGUGGCCUGGUGCGCUUGGGGCGGAGUCGGGGCAGGUGGCCGGGCACCAAGUAUCCCUUGGAAGGUGCCGGCGACAGUAGUAGGAGGACGCGGUCCAGGGAGAAGCCCAGCAGGAGCAACCCCGCCGGAAGAGGAGCCCCCAGGCCCCGCUGGGUUGGCCUUGCGCUUCUUUGGGCGGCCGCGUGCCCCGGAGGAGCCGGCCGAGCUGCCGGCGGCGUGGGGCAGAGGGCCGAGCAGGGCCGGGUUGAAGGAGGCCGGAGCGGGCGCCGGCGCCGGCGCCGGAGGUCGCGCCGCGUAGUAGGCGCUGGCCUGGGCGAUGAGUGCGGUGCGCGCGGCCACGCGCGCCUGGCGGCUGAGGCGCUGCUCCUCGAGCUGGAGGAAGGAGCGCAGCUUGAUGAAGGAGGGCCGACGUCCACUCGUCAUGUGGGGAACGGCGUGCUGGAAGCGCUCGUCGAGGCCGCGGAGGACGUUGUGGACGAGGUCGCGGUCCUUGAUGCGAUGGCCGAGGUCCCGAAGGGUGUCAGCCAUCUGCUUGAGCCGAGAAGUGUACUCAACGACGGAAAGAUCUCCUUGAAGAAAACUGUGAAAUUCAUCAAGGAGAUACGUGAUGCGCGCAUCGCGGUUGCUACGGAAGAGCGAGCGGAGCGAGCGCCAUAUGGUGUACGCUGAGUUCUUGCGCUCCUGGACGAUCUCCAAGGUUGAGGGCGUCACGGUGGCGCUAUACCACGAGAGGACGGCGAAGUCGUUGAGCGCCCAGUCGGAUGUAGCCUGCGCCGGCGAGCCGUCGACAUGAUCGGUGAGGCCGAACUUGGCGAGGGCGGAGAGAAACUGACGGCGCCAGAGGCCGUAGUUUUCUUUCUCGUAGUCGAGGGUGAUGAGAACGUGGUCCCGGAUGCGAAGGCUUUGGACCUGAAGAGUGGGCAGGGUUUGGGUGGCAACCGGGAGAUCAAACGGCUCGUCGGAGGAGGAGUCGCCGGUGGAAGAGUUGGAGGAGGAGGAGCUCAUGGCGUGGGAAGAGUGGGGCAGCGGAAGAAACGGAUCUCAGUUAAACUGAUACCAUGUUGGAGCCAGAGCGAGAUAUAGAGAGAGAGGGCGUGCAACAGCUCUUGUAUUCAUCAUCUGGUGUUACACUGGUUUAUAUAUGUACAGCUCAACUGACUCAACCGAUGCUAGGCUAAAAACUAGGCAUGCACAGAGGACACGAACACACGUUCGCUAACAAUUCCUACCUCACUUACGGGAGGAGGUCCGGGCUUUUGGGAUGGAGUCGGCUCUCUGGUGAAUGUUGGCCCAUGUACGCAUAAACGUCCAGAAUAUAAGUAGAGUGUGGGCUAAAUCAAGUCGGAUGCUGGUCCAUCGGCAUAUGUUCGGAUGUUUUCGGUGCACUAGCAUUCAGCAGAGAGCCUACUCCAUCCCAAUAGCCCGGAUCGAAAGGAGGAAGGAGUCUCUCCCUUAUAAGCUGGUCAUGGCCUCCUCCCGUAAGCAAGGUGGGACUAAACCGAGCCAGCCUCACCGGCCUACAGCAGCCCUAACAUGGGGAGACGGCAACGGUGCAGCGCUGGCCGGGAAGACCGAGCACGGGCCCUGGGGAGCGAGUAAAGGAAGGUGCAAACGGCUGCUGCGUGCGGCGCGCUUAGAAUUGGCAACAGCAAUGCCGUUAAGCUUACCAUGUUUACACCGACGUAGCCGUUGGUGUUGCCAUUUCCAGCGCUCCCUCCAUGCACGAUGCGUAUAUAAGCAUGAGCCCACAAGAUCUCCCCGAAAUCUUCCAGAGAUCCCACGAACUCGCACCAGGAUUUAGCACUAGAUCAUCAUGUCGACCACCGACGACGUGGAAAUGCAGGAAGAGGACCAGGAAGGCGUCGGCAAUAACCAGAGGAGGUGCGCGGCGUGCAAGUACCUGCGCCGGCGGUGCGCCCACGACUGCGUGCUCGCCCCCUACUUCCCGGCGUCGCACCCCCACCGCUACGCCUCCGUCCACCGGGUCUUCGGCGCCAGCAACGUCGCCAGGUUGCUCCAGGUACGUGACCUCUGGUAAUCGAUCAUUCCGGCCGCGCACGGUUCGACAUUUGAAUUGGGUUGCCACUUGCAGAGCUUGCCGGCGGAUGAGAGAGCUCAUGCGGCGGAGGCGAUGGCGAUGGAGGCGCAGUGGCGGGUGGAGGACCCGGUGUAUGGAUGCGCCGGGAUCAUCAGCCAGCUGCAGGAGGAGAUUCAGGCCACGCAGUGCGAGCUCGCCAGGACGCGGGCGCAGCUCGCCAUCGUCCCCGCGCACGGUGCGCAGCUGCAGGCUCUUCCGCCGCCGCCGCCGCCGCAGCCAGACGACGGCCACAGCGUCCCCGUCGCGCAGAGGCAGGGGCAGGGAGAGGCGGUGCCGUUGCUUGACCCGGACGAGUUCCUAGGUCUCGACGGGCUUUGAGCUCUGAUCGAUCAAGCGCGUACGUGCAUGCAAUGCACGCUGGGGAAAUGUCAGGGCGAUGAACCAGAAAGGAAAUGAGGCUGGGAUGAAUAGUUCCGUAUUUUAUACAGUGGCAGCUACCUCCGGUCCGGUGGCAAGGCCAUGUCUCUAUGCACACACAUCUCGGCCGUUGGUUCCAGGUAGAUCGAACGGCUCAUGUUGUCCAGAGGCAGACACACCAUCACCAGCCAAAAUGACAGUGCCAAAUAAUGGAUCUAUGCACGCUCUCUUCUACCACCAGCAGAGUGGGAGAAGAGAGCAAGAGGAAGGUGGGACGGAAGUUAACACUGGCAGGACACCAGGUUAACUUCAGCAAAACAAAUGCUUUUAGAACCAACAGACAUCUUCUUUAGCAUUUAGAACCGACUAGUAACGCACACGGCAAUCCACCUCAAGACAGACAUUAACCCACAAAACAAGCACUCCGAACAGUUCAGGAAUCACCGUUAUGGAACCCGAUUACAACCAACACGAAUCUUAAGUCGCGACUGGUCCACAAUGACAGACGAUGAAUACUUCUCAAGGCACCCUUUUCCGGGUUGGUUUUACUUGGUCUAACUCCAUGUAUGCAAGAGGCAUUCAUUUUAGAUCUACUUCCAAUAACUAUGCGGAUGUGCAGAGCAUGGAUCAUUACGCUUGCCAAUCCUUCCUUCCUCUCAG
rnacentral:lncRNA from 1 species